GUGAGAGAUGUAGAAGAGUUGGCAAGGGAAAGUGAUGAAGAAGAUAUGCUUGGAAGAUCACAAUGUCUUAGACUUAGUUUUUGGAGCAAAGGAAGGUGGGUAAUGACUUGAGACCAAUCAUUGGCAUUGCUCAGGUUAGUGAAACUGAGAUCAACCUCUUUCAAACGUGAAAGAUGGGAAAGCCACUCAAGUUUUCCAACAUUUAAAGCUCUACCGUUGCCACCCAAACUGAGAGUCUCCAACAUUGAAAGAUUUCCAAGUUGAGAAGGAAUUGGACCUCUAAAAUUAGCAUUAGAGAGAUCCAGUAAUUUCAAUUUUUCCAGAGAACCAAAAAACUCUGGGAUGAGACUUCCAUUAAAAUCAUUACUACUGAAAUUUAAAGAAGUCAAAUGAUGUAGUUUAAGCAGUGAAGGGCUAACUGUACCUGCUACAACCAGAGAUUGGUCGCUAAAAUCGAGCAUUUCAACGUAUCCUGUAAAGCUGUUGCAAUAAACGCCAUCCCAAAGACAGCACUCCUCCUCACUUAUCCAUGAAGAAAGGGCGUCGUAGCCUGUAGAAUACAUAGCUUGAAGGCUGUACUUAAAUUCAAGUAGCGCUCUUCUCACACUCUCGUUGCACUGGCUAGCAUCGGUGCAUUUCUCCUGAAGAAGAAGACAGGAUAUUGCAAAAAAUAAAACAAGUUUAUGAGACCUCAUACUUGACAUCGGAAUCAUGAAAUAUGAAGCAAGAGCAAAUGAGAUUGUGUUUUGUUGUUGUAAUUCUGAAUGCUAAUAGCUGAGGAAAGGCCUCUUUAUAAAGACCCAGCUUGACUGGAAUAUGAGCAUUCAUACUAUAUGGAUGUAUUUAAUUAUUUAAGAUUGUUUCACAUGAAGCAAGAAAAUAAGAAAAGUAAUUGUAGCAAAUCAAUUAUGGGUAUUGAUACUAUUAUCUCUCUAAUUGAGGAUUAGGCCUGUUUUGCUUUCAUUCUUUUUUUUUUAUAUUCUUUAAUCAAUGAGUUUUUUUUUUCUGAAACUACAUCGAUGGGAAAUUUUAAAAUAAUAUAAAAAAUUAGUAAAAAGUUAAUUUUUUUAAUAAUAAAACCAAUAUGAAGAAUACUUAAACAAUUAGCAUCAGCUAUGCAGCUAAAAACAAACUCCAACAACAAAGCCAAUUCAGAUAUAUAAAAUUAGUACAUAAACUUAUUCAUUUCUGUAAGACUGACUUUUUUAUCCCAAAUUGAUAUAUCUCAACUUUUUUGCUAACAUAGUACUACUGACCAAUUGUGCGCCACCACAUGACGCUCCUCUUGUAUCUUUAUUCCUUUUUUAUUUUAUUUUAUAUUUUUCUUUCUUUUUCUGGGUUUACUUCUACACUUCCAUCUUUUUUCUUUCUUUCUUUUGCUAACCGCCCUUUCAAUUUUCCCUCACUUUCUCGGUAUCUAGCACCACCAUCAAUCAACCCCACAUCUCUUAAAGCCUUUUUGUUUUCCUCCUCCGCCACCAUCAACUAAUCCCCACCUCUUAAAUUUUAACUUCAUAUCUGUUAUAUUGAUUUAAUUUUUCAGUUUAUCUUAUAAUUUAAUGUGGGAUGAUGAGUUUACCAUACAAGACAUGAGCUUUUACAAUACUAUUCCGUUGAUGAAUAAUUUCUAUUUAUAUGUUGAUGUUAGAUAAAAUCCAAGCUUGACCCGAAGUGUAAUAUAUUUUUUACACUCAUAAACUCAUUUCUUUUGAAAAAAUUAUAUAUAUUUAUAUAAUUCUUUUUUGUACAGAAUGGUUUUUAGAAUGAACUGGGAACAUUAUUUGAACUAGAAAAUCAAAAGCUUUUGAAAGUUAUCAGUGACGGACACGGUGGAGACCAGAGACUAAUGAAGGAGAAGAAGGCCAAAAAUUUAAAUAAUGCACAUAUGUUGUUCAGGGAAAUUAUUUCACAAUAUUUUUAUAUACCAAUAACAAAAGUUGAUAAAGAACUUAACGUAGGGUUAACAUUACUGAAAAAAGGUGUAGGAAACUUGGAUUACGUCUUAAUAGUUUACAAACCUUAAUUCAACUAUUAUUUUUUUCUCAUAUUUUCUCAGGAAAUAAAGAGAAAAAUUGAAAAAACAGAAAAAAAAAUUGAAUGCGAAAAUCAAUUAACAAUUAAAUGUUUUUAAUGAUUUAACUUUUUUUUAUAUAUCUCUGAUAAUUCAAAAUAAUCGAUAGGAUUUUUUUUAUUAAAAAAUGUAAAAAUGGUAAGUAUUUAAGAACGAAUUAUCAUUAAAUGGAAAAUGAUUUCAAUUAAUUCUAUUUUAUUAAUUUCAACAUUAUGGUAUGUUUGAAUUUUUAUUUUUUAAAAAAUAAAAUAAAAUAUUUAAAAAUUAAAAAUAAAGGUAUAAAAUAAUUAUUUUCCAUAAUUUAAAAUUUAUAUUAAUCAAACAAUCUAAUUAUUAACAUAAUAAUAAAAUAUUUUAAAGAUAUGUAAAAUUUAUAUGAUAAAAAAAAUUAAUUAUCAUUACGUCACUUAUUGCUUUUGAUGAGUAACUUGACUUUGUAAAAAAAUUAAUUUUACUUAUUUAAUAAUUCAAAUAUUAUAAUAAAAAAUUUCAAAUCAUAACUGAAGUAUUUUUAAUAUAUUCAAUAUGAAAUAUAUUGUAAAACAUGAAAUAUAAUUUUACUUCAUCUAAUUAAAGGAAAGCAACAUUACACAAAUUAAUAAUUAAUUAACAUAAUUAAAAUAUAUCAAUUGUUUUAAUAAUUGAAAUAUGGUACUAAUAAAAAAUUUCUCAUAGUUUUCAAAGCAUUUGUGAAAACUAGAAAAAAAAAAAAAGGGAUAUAACGUUAGGCUGGAUCUUGAGGUAUUAUAAAAUCUUGUUUUAGAAUUCUAGAUUUUUAACUAGUAAAACGUGAGUUUCGACAAUAUUAACUUGGCAAAUCUCUUCCAAGUUUUUAGAAAAUAAUUCUCGUUGAAGAUAUUUUUUUUAUAAAAAAACACUUAAGUGAUUACUUUACUUUGCAACUGAAAAUUUUAAAUUGUUAACUUUGAAAAUUGUGGUUUUAGUUUGUGAAAACACGUAAUUUACAAUUAAGCAAUGCUAAUUAUAUCAAAAAGUCAAACGAAAUAAAACAAAACCGAAAAACAAGUCCAAAAGUACCAAUAGUCCAAAAAGUCCAUAAUAGACAAUAAAUCUCUUAAAAACCGUUUUAUUAUUGAAAAUCCGAUCCGAGCUCCUGCAUGUCGUCUAAUCCUAAGUUUAUUGAUUACCUAAGAAAAUAAAAAUAUAUGGUAAGCUAAUAAAGCUCAGUGUGCAACUUAGCCCAUACUUAUAGAUUAGAUUGCAAACAAUCAUACAUAAAUCAUGGAUCGAAUAAAUACAAAACAUGAUAUAUCUUGCGAUGCAACAAGACAGACAUAUCAGAUACAGAUGGCAUGGCAGAUCAUGUGAUGCAACAUAUUACACAUAUCAGAUAUAGAUAUUGUAACAUCUCAUAAACUAGGUUAGAAGAAAUUGAGUUUUGAAACCAAAAGUGGUCAUCCCUCGAUUUUGAGUUUAGAUUUUGGAAGUUUUCUAUAGGUGAAUUGACUUGGUUCAGUGGUUAAGUGUUCUGGUUAUGUAUGUAAGAUUUUAGGUUCAAAUCUCAUCUCUUGAAAUUUUGAUACUUUUGAUUAAACUCUAUUUUUGGACAUGUGGGUUAUAAAUUAAAUUCAUUCAAUUGAUAAUAAAAAUGAGUCUACUAGUUCAAUGGUUAAGCUUCUGUUUAUCCUCUGGCCUUGUGUUUGAAUCCCCAUAAAAGCAAUAGGGAACGUUUUAUUUUUCAAUUACUUGGCAUGGUAGUUAUUUUUAGUUGAGUAAUUAAACUUCCAAAACCCUCCUGGGCACUUAGUUUUUCCCAUUUCUGUUUCCUUUUUUUCCCCGUUAUUUCUUCAAUUUUUCUUUGUUAUGAUUUCUUUUAUUCAAACUUCCUUUCUUUUUGCUAUUUUACAUUACAAUUUCUAUUAUGUUUUGCAUUGUUCUGUACUAUUCUAUCCUGUUCUACUCUAUUUUGAAUUCUUUAUUUUGCUCUGUUCAGUUUUGUUCUGCUAUGCUACCAUUGUUCAAAUCUCUAUGAUACUCUAGAACUGUUUCGUACUGGUUAUACAACUGUUCUUAAGUUCUCCGCAUUUUCAUGAAUUAUAUGUUACAAUAUGUUUAUUUGUAUUUGAGUUUGGUUAUGCGCGAUGCUUGUAGCUCAUCUUUUGUUUUAUCUUUUUCUGUGCAGGUAAACAUCUGACUUAAGAUCGGACGACUUAUUGGUGCUCGGGUUGUUUUUACACUGAUGUAAAUAUGAUUUGAUCUUUUGGAAUUGUAAUAUGUUUUUGAACUUGUUCUGGUUUUGGCUAAUUUCAUCAGUAACUGAUAAUCUCUAACACAGAGUUACAGAAUCACCUAAAUCAAUUGAAAUGAAUUUUUGAUUUUCAAAGUUAAAACUCUAAAAAUAUUUCUGCUACAAAUCAAGUAAAGUUUUGGAUGGUUUCUGAAUACUCAACGAAAUCAAUUUUCAGUACGUUGGUGUAACCCUUCUAGAUUCAACUUAAACUUCUAGGUGGAGUUUUGGGCGUUACAGAUACAGAUCUUAGCCCCAUCUACUACACACCAUCUUCAUCCAUCUCUAUACACUAAUUAGGGUAAUAAAUACCUAUCCAACCCCACACACUAAAUAAGUGAUCAUGUGUCACUAUACAGAAUUUGCAGACAAGGCAGCCAGAAAUAAUACGGUAGAUGGAGCAAAUCAUUAAACUGCCAACACUUCAUCCAUCACAUAAUUAUCCCACCCCAAUGCACAUGCUAAAACAUAAUACAUACUCAGACGCACACAAAUGAAUCAUGCUUUAACAGAUUUCUUAAAUUCACAGAUCAAACGCAAUAUUUACACUAUAGACAUGCUUUCGGAUGUUACACAUACAAUAUCAAUACUUUAGAUUUCAUAUAUCAGAGUCCUACAUAACACAUAACAGACCCUAAUAAUUAGCUAACCUCGAAACACACUUUAAAUAUGACCAUAAUUGAAUUUAUUGAAAAUGGGUCCACACGGCCUACUUGGCCCAGCCCAUGUAGCCCACACGAUUGUGUGGCGUCAAUAAUAAACCUUUCGGCUUCAGGCCGUUCACAUACUUUCAGGAUUGAAGUUACACACCUUAUUGUUUUUUGAAUUGUUGUCACAACAGUAGCACCAAAGUCUGUAGACAAUAAUCACCACACAAACGAUUAAUCACAUUGCACAAUAUUUGAAUCAAAAUCUUUGGUCCAACCUAGAUUGGAGCAUUAGAUCAAAUGAAUGACUCUAACGAAACAACCACUAAACUAAGUUAUUCAGACACUUACCCAAUGCUAAGUCAAUUCCUAAAACACUUCUAAUUGUCGUAGAAGUACUUGUCGUACGAUUUUCACCUAAAUAGAUUUGAAACGAUUAAACCGAAACUCCACACCAACUCACAUACUUCAUAUAAUAACACUUAAAUGAAUAUGAAUAGAAAAUACUUAAUAACCAAACGUCGCACUAAACCAAUAUACCCUAAUCACGCACAACCCACACACAGGGAAACAAAAUAGAACGAUGGCAACAAAUCAACAAGGGUGAUAAUCGGAAUUAGGAGAAGAAACAGAUAAUUGCAGAAGUAGAACGACAUGAGAGACUUUGUCGCAACAAAAUGGGGAAAGAGGGGAAGUGGGAGAGAUGGACGACAAUUAGUGGGAAGAUUUUUAGGAUUUUUUUAUAAUUUCAAAAAGAAUAAUUCUAACAAAAAUCCUAUCUAAUCUAAAUAGUAACCUGUUAGAGUAUUAUGAGGAAGUCAGGCAGUUGUCAGUUAGUAAGCAGUUAGUUGCAGUCAGUUGUUAAGGAAGUUACAGCAGUUGGUUAAUUAGUUAUUUCAGUUGUGACUACUGUAUAAAUACAUACACUGAUAGCUCUUCGAAAGAUAAGAAAGAUAUACAAAAUUUUCAGUAUUCUUCUCAUUUUAGUUUAACAUGGUAUCAGACGUUAGUUUUUUCCUGGGUUAAGUGUUUCUGUCGUCUGCAUGGAUCCCUCAUUGAGCCCUUCUGCUGCUCACUCUGCUGUUCCCACGAUGGCUUCUCACCCAUCGGCUGGUAUUAUUGAUAGCAAGUUCUUUGCUACCAAGAAGGUUAGUAUACUUCUUGACGAUUCCAGCUAUCUUUUGUGGCGUCAGCAAAUUCUUUUUGCUGUAAAAGCCUAUAAACUGCAAAGGUUUCUGGAUUUACAUACCAUUCCACCACCCUCGACGGUUCUUGAUGAUAAUGGGGUGCCUCAGGAGAAUGUUGAUUUUGAAAGAUUUGAACAGCAGGAUAGUGCAAUUGCUUCUUGGCUGUUGACAUCGGUUAGUCCGACAGUUUUGCCUCAUCUUAUUGGAUUAGAUACAAGUGCACAGAUAUGGAAUGCUAUUGUAUCUUUUUAUGGAAGCAAGUCUACUUCGCGGCUAAUGUUCUACCGUCGCGCUUUGCACUCACAACGUAAAGGUGAUCUCUCCAUGCGAGAAUUUUUAAUGAAGGUCAAAGGCUUUUGUGAUAACUUGGCUGGUUGUGGGGAAAUCAUUAGCGAACAUGAGCAUAUCACCGCGAUCUUAAACGGGCUACCAGCUGAGUAUGAAUCGAUUGUAUCUAUAAUUGUAGCCAGCCCAACGUUGUACAGCCUUUAGAGUGUAAUGACUAUGUUGGUUGAUGCUGAGUCUCGACAGCAAGUGUUACUGGCUGAGGUCCCUAGUUCUGCGAAUCUUGCUUCACAACAGCCCACCGAUUCUGCUACAAAAAAUUCCACACCAGUUUAUCGGUCAUCUAACCCUCGUGGUCGAGGUCAUGGUCGAUUGUCCAACACACGGUUGCAAUGUCAAUUGUGCGGCAAACUGGGACACCUUGUGGAUCGUUGCUACUACCGAUUUGAUUCGUCCUAUAAAAGCACAAACUACAGACCUCCUCCACAAGCUAAUGUGUGUAUGGCUCCUCCCUCUAUGGCUCCACCACCUAUGGUUCCAUCACCUACUUGGACAUAUCAGGUACCCUACUCUCCUAGCUGGCAAAAUUCCCUUGUUAGUAACUCAGUGCAACAGGGCUCAUCUGUACUUGCGACGUCAUCUCAUGCAAUGAUUUCCACUCCGGAAACGGUUGGAGAUUUGGUCUGGUAUCCUGAUUCUGGGGCAACACAACACCUCACUCACUCGAUGGAGUCCCUUGGUGAUUCCACCUCUCGUUCUGGACCAGGUAGGGUGUAUGUGGGCAAUGGACACUCUGUGCCUGUGUUGUGUUCUGGUCAGUCAACGCUUAUUACUAAGACACGCCCACUUUGCAUGAAGUCCUUGUUAUAUACUCCUGAUAUAACUAAGAAUUUACUUUCUGUGUCUAAUUUCACCAGAGACAAUCAGGUGAUGUUUGAAUUUCGUCCAUCACACUGCCAAGUUCGAGACCUAAAGACUAAGGAAGUGCUUCUUCAAGGUCCAGUCCAUCAGGGCCUGUAUAAGUUUUGCUUCAACAAAAGACAUAUGAUUAGUCAACCUCGAAAUCAGCCAGCUAGAUGUUUUCAGACUCAUGCUCCAACGUCCCUAAGCCUGUGGCAUGCUAGGCUAGGUCAUCCCUGUAGAAAUGUAUUGAUUAAAGCAUUACAGAGUUGUAAUCUGGUUUUUGAUGACAAUAAAGAUUCUCUUGCAUGUGUGGCAUGUCAUUUAGGCAAAGAACAUAAACAGCCUUUGUUCCCCUCUGAAACUCGAUAUACUGCGCCAUUGCAGCUUGUUGCAGCAGAUGUCUGGGGUCCAGCACCAGUACCGUCUAAUGGGUUUCGAUAUUAUGUAGCAUUUACAGAUGCUUUUACAAGAUUUACAUGGUUAUAUUUUCUGCAUAAGAAGUCUGAUGUUGCUGCUGUUUUUCCUCUCUUUCACAAGCAAGUUGAGAGGAUCCUUGAUAUGAAGCUUCGGUCACUUCAAACAGAUGGCGGGGGUGAGUUUCAAGCACUUCGAUCGUAUCUUGCUCAACAUGAAAUUUUGCAUAGACUCACCUGCCCUUACACGUCAGCUCAAAACGGCUUGGUUGAACGCAAGCACCGCCAGAUAGUUGAAACUGGACUUUCUAUGCUUGCCCAUGCAACAAUGCCAGUGUCAUAUUGGAACGAUGCUUUUAGCAAUGCUGUGUAUCUCAUUAAUAGGUUACCAUCAGCACCCUUGGGAUAUGUCUCUCCUUAUGAGAAACUUUUUCAAAACAAACCCAAUUACUCUUUUCUUAAAACGUUUGGCUGUUUGUGCUUCCCAAAUAUUCGGCCAUACAACCAAAAUAAACUUCAGUUUCGAUCUGUUCCUUGUAUUUUUCUUGGCUACUCUACCAAUCAUAAAGGGUACAGAUGUCAAGAUAGCAAUGGUCGGGUUUACAUAGCUAGGCAUGUCACGUUCCAUGAAAACCAACCUGGGUUUCAAAUAGUUUGUCUCAAACCGCCUUCAGUUUCUACAACCCCUUCUUCUAGCUCCAAAUUAAUGGUUUUAGCUCCUAGCUUUCAUUCCCCAGUACAAUCUCAAAGUCUUAGCCAACCUAGUUUGACUCCACCAUCAUGCCUACCUAACACUCCUGUCAUUUCACACCAUAACCUCCCUAUUUCCCACACGUCACAUACUCCAUUAAAUGAGUCAGACUCUCAAUCCCAAUCUAUCGCCAUCACUGUCCCAUCUCCCAUUCCUACUCCCCAAAACACCCAUGCUAUGGUAACCCGCAGCAAAGCUGGCAUUUUUAAGCCAAAGGUAUACAUGAGUGGUGUUGACUUACCUUUUGAAGUUCCUCCAGACGUGCAUACUGCUAUGGCACAACCUCUCUGGAAGAAAGCUGUGCUUGAUGAAUUGAAUGCUCUUGUUCGAAACAACACCUGGACACUGUGUACUCUCCCUCCUCAACGAAAAACUGUUGGCUGUAAGUGGCUAUUCAAGGUGAAAAAGAAAGUAGACGGUACUGUAGACAGGUACAAAGCUCGAUUAGUAGCAAAAGGCUUUUCUCAACAUGCUAGGACUGACUUUCGAGAUACCUUUAGCCCAGUAGUUCGAGCUGUUACUAUCAGAAUGAUCCUUGCUCUUGCUGUCAUGAAUGGAUGGUCACUACGACAGGUGGAUGUGAAUAAUGCAUUCCUCAAUGGUCAGCUUGAUGAAGAAGUGUUUAUGGGUCAACCACCAGGCUUUGAAGUUUGUAGCACUGAUGGUCAUAAAUUGGUAUGCAAGUUAAACAAGGCACUGUAUGGGUUGCGUCAGGCGCCUCGUGCAUGGUUUUACACACUUCAACAAUUUGUGGUGAACAAGUUGGGAUUUUGUGCGUCAAAGGCAGACCCUUCGUUAUUCAUUCGGCGAUCUGGAUCAAGUCAGCUAUUUCUCAUGGCGUACGUCGAUGAUAUUAUACUUACUGGUGACUCCACUCAAGCUGUUGAUGAUGUGGUAUGUCAGUUGCACAAACAGUUUGCACUUAAAGAUUUGGGUCAACUCAGUUUCUUUCUUGGCAUUGAGGUGCAACACAUGCCUCAUGGAAUGCUUCUCACUCAGCGAAAGUAUGUUCAGGACAUUCUUAAAAAAACAGGGAUGGAGGGUGCUGCUAAUACACCAACACCUAUGGUCAGUUACCCCAAACUCAAGCUAGCAACCUCUGAUAGUGAUCAGACAGUUGAUGAACGUCUCUAUCGUAGCACUAUAGGGAUGCUGCAAUAUCUGUGUGUUACAAGACCCGAUAUCUCAUUUUGUGUAAAUAAGCUAAGUCAGUAUAUGAAUUCACCCGGAGAAGCUCACUGGAAAGCCGUUAAGCGUGUUCUUCGUUACUUAGCUGGUACAAUCGAUCAUGGGUUAUUUUUUUCACGUGGACAGUUCAAGUUAGUCUUUUAUUCUGACGCAGAUUGGGCUUCUUCUGUUGAAGACAGGAGGUCUACCACAGGGUAUGUUAUCUUUCUUGGACCAAACCUAAUAGCAUGGUGCUCGAAAAAGCAACCCGUUGUGUCCAGGUCGUCUACAGAGGCAGAAUACCGCAGUUUGGCUAGUUGUGUAUCCGAAAUAUUGUGGGUUCGACAACUGCUAAAUGAGGUAGGAGUUUGCAUGGCCCAUGCACCAACAGUUUGGUGUGACAACACGCCGACAGUAUCCAUGUCAGCUAACCCAACAAAUCAUGCCAGAGUAAAACAUAUUGAAAUUGACCAUCACUUUGUUCGAGAAAAGGUGGCCGAUGGAUCACUUCAGGUUAAUUUUGUUCCGUCUGCUAAUCAGAUUGCCGAUGUGCUUACUAAGCCUCUAGCUCCCAAGCAGUUUGUAGGUCUGCGCAGUGCUCUUCGAGUAACAACUAAAGAUGAGUCGAUUGUUUUAGAAAACAGAGAAAAUCGGGAGAAUGUUAGAGUAUUAUGAGGAAGUCAGGCAGUUGUCAGUUAGUAAGCAGUUAGUUGCAGUCAGUUGUUAAGGAAGUUACAGCAGUUGGUUAAUUAGUUAUUUCAGCUGUGACUACUGUAUAAAUACAUACACUGAUAGCUCUUCAAAAGAUAAGAAAGAUAUACAAAGUUUUCAGUAUUCUUCUCAUUUUAGUUUAACAUAACCACCUAUCAGAUUACUCAACUGUAGAAUUUUACUGAAACUUUGACUUGUAUGAACAACAACAGUAGAGUCUAAACAAAAAAUUAUUUCUCUUUGCACACAUAGGAUCCAAACACAAAACAUUUGAGUAAGACGAAGUCUUACCAUUGAACCAACGUGCUCAUUCUUGUCAAUAGUUAAACAAAAAUAAUAGAUAAGCUAGAUAUUCAAAGUUAGGGGUUGGAACAAAUAAUAAUCAUAAUAAUUCAAAGGUAAGGAUUUAAACAUAUAUAGGACCUUAAGCACAUAAACAUCACUUAACCAUUGAACCAAUCUAAUUCACUUGACAUAAUUUCACAAUUCAAAAACAUAAAAUUUUGAAGCGUUACAGUUAAGCUUUUCACAACUCAAUUUUUAAUUUGGGUAAACCCAUUAGUCACUCUAAAAUUGAUUAAAUUAAUCACUCCACUAUAAAAUGAUAACAGAAUGUUGACUAAACAUUUCUUAUUUUGUUCACAUUAGAAUUACAACAAACUACCCUGUUAGUCACUUUAAAUAGGAGUACUAAUUCCUAAUUUCGACAUUCCAAAAGAAUAUAUGUAAAUGCAAAGUUAGUCUUCUAUUACUAUUUUAAUGGUAGAGUGACUAAUUUGAUCAAUUUCUUUUUUAAGUGACCAAAUUAACAAAAGAAAAAUGUGACCAAAAUAAGAAUAACCCCUAGUUAGAGUGAUUAAUAGGAUAAUUUCUUAACGGUCAAUAAAUUCGAAAUAAUAAUUCUUAAAUAUUAUAUAAUUAAUUUAAUAUAAUAGAUUAUAUUAUUUAUAAAAUUAUUAAUUUAAAGACCAAAGUCUUUGCAUGAUCCUAUAUCAUAUCCUUAUGUUAUAUAAUUGGGAUUUAGCUGUCAGCCUUUUUCAUUAGUGCUUGAAUUCUUUAAUAUAAAAAUAAGAUGACCAUAAAAUACGUUGUGAUUUUUAGCACUAAUUAAGGAUUAUGGAUGUUUAUGCUUUCAAUUUUCUCUUCUAACCUCCACUGUUUUCUUCUUUAGUUAAAUCACAUCACUAUAGGGUGAAAUUUGUUAGGCCUACUAAACCUUUAAUUCAUGACUUAGACUUGCUUUUUGUUUCAAUUAAUGUAAUUUACCCACAAUUCUCUUCUUAGUUUCAUAUGAAGCAAAAAGAGAUUGGGUCCUGAAUUCUUCAAUAAUAUGAAUCAGAAAAUGUCUUUUACUUUUUGACACUAAUCACUAAUUAAGAAGCAAAUACUGGGCCGGUUUUGCUUUUGUUUUUAUUUCCACUUCACCUUUAAAAUGUAUUCUUCACUUUUUCUUACUAAUAAACUUUUUAAACACGACUUAGACUUACUUUUUGUGUUAAUAAUUUCAACAAGUUUCUUCUUAGUUAUUUAUAAGGUGAGAGAGAUUGAUUGCUAAGCGUAACCUUAACAAAUAUAGUUAAUUUAUUAAUUUAUACAUCAAUGAUCAAACUCAUAAAUCUACCUUUUUCUAGAUUUUCAUCGUAUUGAGUUUUUUUUAUAUUUUAUUUUACGAUUUUUGUUACAUAGUUUUAAGUUUAGUUUUAGUUUUUAAUUUUAAUCCUCCUUUGUUUUUAUUUUCUUUUAUUAAAGAAAUAGAAUUAUCAUUUGCCUAUAUGGAUUCGACCCUACUCAUUGUUAUAUUGUAACGCCCCAAAAAUUUGUUUCUUGAAUUGUUAGAAUUAAAUUAGUCUCUAUACAUUAGAUCAAAUAGAAAAAUGAUUCUUCUAUUAAAAAUUUCACCCAUUUCUAUUGUUAAAAACUGGUUCCUUUACAUCAACAUGAGGUACACAUGGUACAUCACAUGUUAUUGUCUAAUUAUUUUGUCAGUCACGCUAAUUUUUAAUAGUACAAAUAGAUGAAAAUUUUAAGAGAGAUGACCAAUCUGCUCUUUAAUCUAAUGUAUAGGAACUAAUUUAUUUAUUUUAAUAAAAAAGACAAAAUACAAUAUAACUUUUAGUACAAAAAUCACCGUUAUACUUUCACCAAUUUCAAGCAUGUAUUAAAUUAAGAAUAGUAGUUAUACUUAUAUUCAACCAUCAUCUUCAAUCUCAAAAAUCACAGGUAAACCUAGUAUGCUAUCCCAUAAUAAUUUAUAAAUAUGUACACUUUUAUAUUGGGAAAGAGUUGUAUUAUUGGCAUGAAACAAUGUAGGGAAACUUGUGAUGGAGACAUUUGCAUAAAUUAUAGGUAUAUAAGAGGGAGGGAAUGGUAAAAAGAGGAUGAUUGAAACUGUGCAGGUCAAAGUUUUGUAUGUAUAUAUAAUUAAUGAAGGGACCCCAUUGAAGCAUAGAGUGUAGCAAGGGUGAACCAUUUCUUGUGAGUAUUGUAUGAGUUAUUGGGAAUUUAUGGGAAAUUUUGCUUUGCCUUAAUAGGGAAAUUUAUCUCUUAUACAAUUAAUAGUAAGUUUCAAAUGUGCUAUUUAGUUUAAAAAGGUUAUAUUAGACUCCAAAUUUUAGGAAAUAUAUAUGAUUUCAUCAAAAUUUUUAUAUAAUUAAUUAUUUACAUGGAUCAAAAUUAAUUUCGAUUUAUAACGCCCAAAAAUUUAUAUUUUGAAUUGUUUGAUAAACUACUAAAAAAAUUAAAUUAAUUAAAAUUUAAUUUUUCAAUGAUUUAAAUUUUUAUAUACCUCUAAUAAUUCAAAAUAACAAUAACCGAUAGAAAUUUUCUAUAAAAAUGUGAAAAAUGGUAUGGAAGAACUAAUUACCAUUUAAUGGAAAAUAAUUUCAAUUAAUUUUAUUUUAUUUAUUUCAAAUUUAUAGCACGUUUAAAUUUUUAUUUUUUAAAAAUAAGAUUAAUUAUUUAAAAAUUAAAGAUAAACAUAUAAAAUAAUAUUUUUCAUAUUUUAAAAUAUAUAUUAAUAAAAACAAUUUAAUUAUAUUUUUGUAAUUAAUUUUAAAUAAUAUAUCAAAUUAAUUUAAUAAAUUAAUUUAUAAAAAAAAUAUUUUUAAUUUAAUUACAUAACUAUAUUUCAAAGUUAAAAUGAAUAUCGAUGAAAGAAAUAUAGGAAAAAUAAAUUGCAUUAAUAUAGCUAUACAUGCAUUUAUCAUUUUCCACACUAUUGAACUCUUAAUGGACUUGCUUUUAAUUUAUUUAUUUUGAGUACAAGUUUUUUUUGGUGAAUUACAAGAGAAGGAUAAAGCCUAACAACAAUGUGAUUAGCGUGACUCGAACCGAGAUCACAUCUGAAACAGUAAAUACCCUUACUAUUAGCCCAACACACAAGUUUCUUAAUUCAGCAUUAGUAAACUAUUGGCUUUGAGUUAUUUAAUAUAGUUCUUACUAUGUAAUUGUUGAGUUGAAUUACUUUAAAUAAGAGUCAUUUCCAUUUUUGACACUCCAAAAAAAAAAAAAUACAUGUAAAUGCACAGUUAUGUUGUGUUUAGUAGUACUUUUUAAAAACACUUUUGACAUAAAAAUCAUUUUCGAAUAAGAGGAAUGCUAAACAAGCAACUUUUGAAAGAAUUUCUUUGCUUUUCAAAAGCACUUUUCCCCAAAUUGAGAAGUUAAAAUUUUUAGCUUUUCUCUCCCAAAGCACUUUUGACACUUUUUAAAAGCAAUGCUAAAUUAGCCCUCAGUCUUCUAUUACCAUUUAAAUGGCAGAAUGGCCAAUUUGAUCAAUUUCCUUUUCGGGUGACCAAAUAAAUAAAAGAAAAUUGUGACCAAAAUAAGAAUGACCCUUAUUUAUGGCAAAGCACCAAAUAUGAAAACAAAACAAUAACCAUUGCAACUAUUCUUUUUCAUUGAUGUUUUCUGUUGUAAUUACAAAUAUUUAAGUUAGUUGAAUAUUGAUAUCACAUUCAAUUGCUUAAAAUAUUUUAGUUUGUCAAUUAGAAUAAUUAAAUCUAUAAUUGUUUAAUUAAUUAUAAUGCUUGCGUUGAAUAGCAUGAUUAGAUAUAAGUUACGUAUGCAAUUCAUGUUACAUGAACAUAUGAUCUAUUCUAAAUGAACCUCGCUUAAUGCUACCAAUAAACUGAUUCUUAGACUCGAACUGGUAGUUUAUUGAUAAGGGAAAUAAUUUGAAUGAGUUUCGUCUUUAUUAUCAACAAAGUAAGAAGAAAUUGAUUGCUAAGCGAAAUUUAUUUUUUUAAACGUUGGUAACGAUAAAAUUUUUUAAAGGACCCCAACAAUAAUUUCUCCCUAUAAAUAUCAGGUUCUUUUUUAUUAUUUUUACUCAAACCCAACUCUCUUUAUUUUUUUCUCUACUCUCAACUCUCCCAAUUUUCUAAAGUUUCGAUACGGAAUUUAUUUCAGGAAAUUAGCUUUUGACUGUUUCUACUUUGCCUUUGAUUUUUCACCUCCACUAUUUUCUUCUUUAAUCAAUUACUUUACAAUAUCCCAAUUAUAAAAUUGUGAUUUGAAUUAUACUUAAAUAUAUUGGAUUUUGAUUUUGAUUUGUAAAUUAAAAAAAAUUAUAAAAGUGCUUUUAAUUUAAUAACCUUACUUUAAUUGUUUUCACUUUAACCAUAGAAAUGAAUAAAACUAACAGUUGAAUGAAACCUCUUUCUCACAUCAUUCGCUUGAAGACCCAUAAUUAAUUCCAUUUUAAUCAUCUUCAAUUUUGCAAUGCAACAAAAUUUCGUGUUAAAUGACUAAAAACUAUAGAAUUUAUAAAAUAUUAAUCAAAGGAAAUUAAAAAAAAGAGAGUCUUUGUUGGGUUAAAGAAUUUGGUGUCAUAAAAAAUAAAUAUAAAUACAUAUUUCCCCAAAUAUGAAAAAAAACCUAAAAAUUACUAUCUUUUUAUUAUUUAAUCGAAUAAAUUGAGUGAUUGGUUAAAAACUAAAAUUAACUAAAUUAAUUAACUAACAAACACGACAAAGAACAAAAUAAGAAAAUAAAUGAUUAACAAUCAAUAAGUGAAAUAAUACAUAGGAAAGAAUUCACCUAGAUUUUAUCUGUCACUAUCAAUCUGAAUUACGCAAUUUCUUUACUUAGUAACUUGAUCCAUAGAAAUCCAUGAGUUAUGCUAAUAUCUUUUUCGAGAGUAAGGGCAACUGACUCUAGGUUGAUUAAUUAAAACCCCUAUUAUCACAUUAACUCAUGCUAUGGAUUCUUAUUUUAUAUUUGACUCUAAUUUGAUAGAUUUAUGUCGUCCUAUUUCUAGUAUUGCAUGUAACUCCACUCAAUUAUGCAAAACAUACUAUUAAACAAGGUCUAUUAACCUCCUCUGGUGUAAGCACAUCAUAUAUGGAUCAAUAAUCUAAAAGUAUCAAACCAAGAAUUAAGCACACGUAAUUGAGAACAAGAUCUAAGUAUUUGUUGCAUAAAAUAAAAAUAAAAAGACAGAGUCCAUCAUAGGGUUCAUCUCCCUUGGAUAUUUAGAAAAUUAGUUCAUAAUUAAAAAUAAAAACAUCCAAGAUAUAGUAUAACUGAAAGAAAUAAAGAAGCUCAUGAUAAUCUCCUAAGAAAUCAACUAGGAAUCUUCAAUCUUGACGGAAAUCUGCUUUAGAAUCGGCUUGAAUGGUGUUUUUUUGAAUUGUUUUCCUGAAUAUUCUAUGACUUUCCCUUUUAUCUUCUUAUGUUUGUCAUAUAUAUCCCUUUUAUCUUCUUAUGUUUGUCAUAUAUACGUCUUAGAAUGCUCUAAAAAUAAAAAAAAAUGUUUUCUCACAAUUGAAGGUACAAAUAUGCGAAAUUGACACAGCCUACCACAUUUCUUUGUGGUAGGCCAUCUGAGUCACAUGGUUGUGUAGCUAGGCCAUGUGGAAGGGGUCAGCCUAUGUGGCUCUUGUAACUUGUUCCGAUUUUUUGAUUUUCGCUCAUUUUUCACUUCUUUUGGUCUCAAAUGCUCUCCUAAGAAUAAAAACAUGAAUUUAAAAGAUUAAGAGCAUAAAAUUCAUCAUUAAAAUCGAAUAAUCACCCAAAAAUGCACUAAGAAUGAGGUUAAAACAUGUUACUUUUAGCACUUAUCAAAGCACAACAAAAUAAUGCAUAUAUACUGUCAAAUAAAAUUUGAUAUCUGAUACCUGAUAAAUUUUGUUUGUGCAUUGGGUGGGACUUGUGUAUAUCGGGGAAGUGUGAGAAAAUAUAUCUUUGUCGUAUCUAGUGGCACAAUCACACAUAUCUUUGUAAAAGGCGAUAAAUCGCUAAAUGAACUGGCAACUAAGCUGCAAAUAUUCUGAAAAGUGUCAUACCGACACUAAACGAUGUGUAGGGCUGGAUGGGUAUUCAAUACCCUAUAUGGUGUGUUGGAUGGUUGAAGAUGGUGUGUAGCGGAUGGGGGUAUGAUUGUAAAUCUACAUCUAUUGUGUUCUAAUACGGUUUUUAUUUUUGAUAUAUGUCUGAUUAAUUUCUAUUGAUAAUAUGAUAUGUUACACACUGAGUUUUGAAACUCAUUAUUUGUUUAUUUGCUACUUUCAGGUAACCCUCAGACUUAGGAUGGGCGGGCGCGACAAGAGUUUGGAUAAAAUAUUUUACUUUUCUUAUGGUUAAUUAAAUAUUAGGAUUGUUGUGUUUUGUUAUUUUUGAGUUUGGAUGUCGUUUUUAACAGUUUAUUGAUUUUCAAAACACGACUUAUGUUUUCCAAAUCCAAAUUAACUAAAAAUUUCGCUGCAAAUAAAUGUGUUUAAUCGUGUUUUCCAAAAUUGGACUUGACUGAGAUUUUUCCCGCAGUGCAACCGUAAGCAUUUUUAAAGUAUAAUUAAUCAAUAAUUUCCUCGAAUCUAUUAAUGAAAUGUUUUUUUAGUAAACUGGAUUUUUACGUAACGACCAUAACUUCUAGACCGGAAUUGGGUGUUACAAAAUUACUUUUGACAAAAAAAUAAAUAUACAAACCAAAUAUAACAUAAACGUAUUACAAAAAAAAUGAAAGAAAUUAGAAAUCAUCAAAAAGACAAACAUGUCUUAAUUUAUAAGUUUUUUAUUAAGAUUUUCUCACAUGCAGGAAAAACCACCUUCAGUUGCAGUUCUAAUCACACUUGAAAAAUAAUAAUAUACAACUUUGUUAUUUAGUUAAGGAUAUAUUUCUCAACAUUGAAAGAACAUUGUUAAGGAGUGAAGAAAGUCAAUUUAUUACCUUGUUGAAAGACCUUUGAUUCUCCUCACUAACCUUGUUUUGAGCAAAACAAAUGAAACAUAAACCCAAUCCUUUGCACUAUCCAAGUAACGAUAAUAUGAAUGCCUCCAUGAACGCUUGAAGAACACAACACUGCAAAACCCCCACAAACCCACAGCAAAUCCAAGUCCCAUGCCAGUGUAAAACCAUUUCAUGAACUCAUCACAAUCUUCUUCACUUCCUACUGUAGGUUUUCCAGGAGGUGGUUCCACCAUUGAGCAAUUUGGUGAAAUAGGAGGACCACAAAGUCCUCUAUUAUGGGAAAAUGACGAAGGAUCAAAGCUCUGUAGUUGAGUGCUGGUUGGAAUUUUUCCAGACAAGUCAUUAUAAGACAAGUUCAAGUUGCUUAGAAAUGUUAAUUCAGACAAGCUUGUCGGGAUGUUUCCUGAAAACUUGUUUCUUGACAGGUCAAGCACCUCUAGUUGUCUUAUAUGCCCAAUCUUUUGAAGAAUUUUUCCGUUAAAAAGGUUUCUUGACAAGUUCAAUACAACCAGUUCUUGAAGACUACUUAAUUCUUCAGGAAUCUCUCCUGUUAAUUUGUUACAAGAGAGAUCAAUGGCCAGUAGCAAUCCAAGUUGUGGAUAGCUUUGCUUUGUUCCCUUCCAUGUAAGCAAUGCCUCAUCAACAUAUCUAACCUGAAUGAUCCAUAUAGGCUCACCAUACACACCCUCCAGAGAUAAAAAUCUAGGUCCAGUAUCUAAGAUGUGAUGCUCAAUCCUUCGAUCUAAACUCACUUUUUUUGCCAUGGAAGUGAAAUUAUUGAGGCAUGGUGGUAUGGUACCAGAGAUUUUAUUUAAAGAGAGGUCCAAGAUUUGUAGAUAUUUCAAUCCACAAAGUUGAUGGGGAAUCCUUCCCCUGAACUGGUUCCCUUGAAGGCUAAGAAAAACCAACGAUGAAAGCUUCUGACCGAUCCACAUAGGUAUUUCUCCUGAUAAUUUAUUAUCACUCAAGUCGAGAAAUUUUAACUUGGCACAAUUCUGUAAAGAUGAAGGUAAUACUCCAGAGAAUUUAUUACCACGUAGACUUAGCAUUUCAAGAGAAACCAGAGAUCCUAAGGAGCUUGGAAGUGAGCCUGAGAAACUAUUAUCACCCAAAUUCAAAGCUGUUAAAAACGGGAAACUUCCAAAACAGUCUGGAACCACUCCAGAAAAUAGAUUAUUUGAGAGAUCAAACAAUGUCAAAUAAACUGCACCAGUAAAAUUGCAAAUUGGAGAGACUGAACCAGUAAACUUGUUUUUGGAAAGGUUAAUGGUCCCCAUAUUGUAGUCUAAAGAAAAACGUGGUAAUGGUCCUGAGAAAUUAUUAGAGCUUAGAUCUAGAUGGAUUAUGUGGAUAGAAUUAUUUGGAAAAGUUCCACUGAUCUGAUUGAAAGACAUGUUUAUGUACGAUAAUCCCUGAAAUUUGUCCCAAAACCAGUAGGGAAGAGAAUCCGAAAUUCCUGAAGCAGAAAUAUCAAGGUAAUCUAUUGAAGAAAUUUCAACGUUAGGGUUUAGGAUGUCCAUUUGAGUCCGAAGCCAAUCUGGGAAACGAGGCCCUAACUUGCAAGAGCAAAGCAAUAGUUGACUCAGUUGGAAGGAAGGAAUCCAUCCGGAGUUGAAUCUCAAAGUCAAAGAAGUGUAGGAUAAAUCCAACUUCUGUAAAUAGGUGAAAUUUGAGAAAUGAGCUUCGGAAAUCACAUCACCACCAAAAGAAUUCCCUGGAAGCCGCAAGACUCGCAGGUUGGAAAGUUGUCCAAUGCUUUUGCUUAUGGAUCCAUUUAAAAGGUUGUACCCAAGAUCUAGAACCCUAAAAUCUGGUAGUUUUCCGAUUUCAUUCAACCCAGAAUCGCCCCUAACUUGAUUCUCAGCUAGUACCAAAAGAUUAUCAUUCAGAUAAAGUUCUUGAAUAGCCUUCAUGUUCCCGAAAGCUUCUGGAAUUGGACCUUUCAACUGGUUGCUUGAGAGGUCAAGUGAAACAAGGUUGCUGCUAACAUUAAACAACCAUGGAUAUAUGGCAGAAGAAGGGAGAUUAUUAUCAGAGAGAUCGAGAUAGGUGAGAGAUGUAGAAGAGUUGGCAAGGGAAAGUGAUGAAGAAGAUAUGCUUGGAAGACCACAAUGUCUUAGACUUAGUUUUUGGAGCAAAGGAAGGUGGGUAAUGACUUGAGACCAAUCAUUGGCAUUGCUCAGGUUAGUGAAACUAAGAUCAAGCUCUUUCAAACGAGAAAGAUGGGAAAGCCACUCAAGUUUUCCAACAUUGAAAACCCUACCGUUGCCACCCAAUCUAAGAGUCUCCAACAUUGAAAGAUUUCCAAGUAGAGAAGGAAUUGGACCUCUAAAAUUAGCAUUAGAGAGAUCCAGUAAUUUCAAUUUUUUCAAAGAAGCAAAAAACUCUGGGAUGAGACUUCCAUUAAAAUCAUUACUGCUGAAAUUUAAAGAAGUCAAAUGAUGUAGUUUAAGCAGUGAAGGGCUAAUUGUACCUGCUACAACCAGAGGUUGGUCGCUAAAAUCGAGCAUUUCAACGUAUCCUGUGAAGCUGUUGCAAUAGACUCCACGCCAUAGACAGCACUCCUCACUUAUCCAAAAAAAGGCGUCGUUGCCUGAAACACCGAGAGCUUGAAGGCUGUGCUGAAAUUCAAGUAGCGCUUUUCUCUCACUCUCUUUGCACACGCUAGCAUCGGUGCAUUUCUCAUGAAGAAGAAGACAAGAUAUUGCAAAAAAUAAAACAAGUUUAUGAGACCUCAUACUUGACAUCGUAAUCAUGAAAUAUGAAGCAAGAGCAAAUGAAAUAGUGUUUUGAUUGUUUUAAUUCUGAAUGCUAAUAGCCGAGGAAAGCCCUCUUUAUAAACACCCAACUUGAAUGGUAAUGGUAGCAAAUCAAUUAUGGGUGUUGAAUUACUUUUGGUCAUUAUCUCUAACUUGAAUUACUUUCAUUCUUUUAUUUUUGUUCUUUAAUCAAUCUCUUUACUAGUCCUUUCAAUGAUGGGAAAAAUAAAUUGCAUUAAUAUAGUUGAAACAUGUAUUUAUCAUUUUCCACACUUUAAUGGGCGACUUAGACUUGCUUUUAAUUAACUUAGUUUCAGCAAAAGUUUCUUAUUUCAGCAUUAGUAAGGUAUUGGCUUUGAAUUAUUUACUAGUAUUAUAUAAUUAACUUGUAAUUGUUGAGUCGAAUUACAUUUUUGACUGUUAGAGAUUAAAGAUUAGAGUUUUGUAGCAAUCUGCUCGAAAUUUCGGUAUGGAAACUUGUACUGAGUUUAUUUUAUAGGGAAUUAUACCCCCUGACAUCAAACAAUUUCAUCUUCAACACAUGCUAACUGGGAUUUCCGGGUUACGAUGUCUGAAAAUUAUCCUAGAGUCUGAGGUACAUAGUUAGGGUUGAAAAUGGAGGAGGGAGAAAAGGCACGUAGGGGGCUUUUUUAGCUAUCAAACGGUUUCAUGUUUAAGAAAUGCUGCCUCAAGAUUCCCGGGAUAAAAUUGCAUGCGGAAGAUAUUCCACCCCACCCCCCGCCCCCCCCCUGGGCACUCUACUUAUUUGUAAAAUAUAUUGUUUAGCACUAAUGAGCGAUUAAGGAUGUUGUGCUUUCAAUUUUCUUCUUUAAUUAAUCACUUUAUGACUCCAAUGUGAAUAAUCUCUCAAUAACGUGUCAUAGGGUGAAAUUUAUGAGUCCUACUAUACCUUUAAUUGAUGACUUAGACUUGCUUUUUGUUUCAAUUAAUUUAAUUUACCCACAAUUUUCUUCUUCAGUUUCAUACGAAGCAAACGAACAAUGGGUCUUGAAUUCCUCAAUAAUAUGAAUCAGAAAUUACCUUGCAAUUGAUGUGUCCAAUUACUUUUUGACUAUAAGCACUAAUUAAGGCCUGUUUUGCUUUUGUUCUAAAUUCCACUUGAGCUUUAAAAUGUAAAUUUUCAAUUUUCCACACUAGACUCACUUUUUCUGUUAAUAAUUUAAUUCCCCUCAACUUUUUCUUCAAUUUCAUAGGAAGCAAGAAAAGCAAUUGUCUGUAAUUAACAAUGUGAGCUGAAUGUUAUUGAAGUAUUGUAAAAAAAAAAAAAAACCAACCUAGAAGAAGCUGAUAUCUAUACCUCCUGACAUCAUAAUUAUCAUAAAAAAAUAAUAUUUUAUUUUGUUAUUUUGGAUUCUACAUGUCAUUAUCUACUAUCAUAAAAAUGUGAGCCUAUAUUAAAAGGUGAUCUAAUUUGGUUAAGAUUUAUUGGGCUUUAGUAUGAGCCGAAUAUGUAUAUAUACCUUAGUAACUAAUUUCUAAUUAAUGAUGGGCUGAUUAGAAAGUAGGUUAAUGUGCAAAAGUUAUAUAUUAAGGUUAUGGUUCUCAAAUUACACAUGUAUAACUUUUCUAAUAUCUCAUAUUUAGAGAAGAGAGGGUCGCAUUUUUUGAAUUACUUAUGUGCUAAUUUGGAAGAUCAAAACAAUAAGAUCCGAAGAUUUCAAAAAAGCGAUAGAUUCAGUAGGCUUUCACAUCUAGUUUUGUUCUUGAUUUAUUCUUGAUGAUUUGACAUGACAGAUUCUGGCUUGUUAAGUUUUAAGUUAGAUCUUGUUUUAUGGUUCUAACAAGUGACAUCUGAGCCUCAUCAUGUUGAAUCAUUAAGAACAAAUUGAUUCUGUAUUUUUGGAUUGUGUUAAGUUUAAUUUUGAGCUUAACUUAUUCAACUAAAUUAUUUAAAUUAUUGAUUAAUUUCUGAUCAAUUGAAUUUUAAUUAGCCUAAAUUACAUUAAGUACAUUCCAUGCCGUAAUAAUUUGUUUUCGCUCCAAUUCAACUGUUUUAUGUUAAUUUUAAGCCAUGUGCAGGUUAGGGGCAUUUGGAUGUUCGAAUGAGCUCAAUUUGGAAAUUGAUUUUCAUGAAUGAAGCUGUAGGAUAAGGAUGAUCAUAUGCUGGUUUUGAAAAAAAUUAAAUUGACAUGGUCAAAAUAUAAAAUUCAGUAACCAAAAUUACCACAACAGACAUUGCGACAAAAGAAGAAAAUUCGGUACAAUUAGAAAUGCAGCAGGCUGAAUGUGCGACAAAACCAGCAAGGGAAUUAUUUAAUUUCUUUUUUAGAAUGGUGACCGACUCUAAUUAAAGCAAGGGGACCCCGUUUCAGCCUUGAGAAGUAAAAUUGAAGUGAAACUCUAGUGAGCUGGAGCUAUUUUUGUGCGACGGGAUAAGAAAAGAGAGCAGAUCAGAUUUUGAUUUUGGAUUUAUUCCAUAAAAAGAGGCGUUCAGCAGCUUAAAAAGGGCAGUAAAUAACAGAGGAAAAUAUAGCAGAGGCGUGUGGCACUCGAGCAAAAAAAAAAGUUCUCUAAUUAAACCAGCAAAGGCCGAUCAAGCAGCUGGAAUAGCAGCCCAAAAUUUCAGCUAGUAAAGAGGAGGGACGCUCGACGAUUUGAGAAGUUUUCUUUUCCAAGAGUCAGUUCGUAAUUCAUGCUGUUUACAAUUGAUUCUUGCCUUGUUUUACUUGCUAUGAGUGGCUAAAUUUCUUAAGCUUAGUUAGACACUUAUGAACCUGAGCACAAGUGGUUUGAAGAUUUAUUUUGUUUUCAAUUCGAAUUCGGUAUUCUUGAAUUGUUUGCUUUACCGCUCAAGGAAUUUUUCUAAAUCAAUUGGAUUGAUCAGUUAUUUAAUUUGGGAUUUUUCUUAUAAUCAUCUAAGUGCAAAUUGAGUAAUCGAAUUUCUUAAUUAAACUUAGAAUUGGUGAUGAUUAAUUGGCCUGCAGCUAAUUAAAACAACUAAGGAUUUAAUAUUAGAAGCCGCCGGAGGAUUUUCUUUUAUUAAUGGCAGGUGAAGUCUCUAAAAUACUAAUUGCACCUUUAAUUAGUCAACAAAGAGAUAAUUAAAGGUAGGUUUUUAGUUAUGAAUGUUCUCUAAUUGAAUAAAAAUUUACUGGGGAUAGGAAGUCGCUUCGUAAGUGAUUUUUCAGCCUUGUUGCUGAGUUAGUAUACUAAGAUAAUUUAAGGUCACAAAGGACUUGUGCUUGGCGGAUUAAGGAGUCAAUAACUAAGCAUUCUCUCUCUUUAUUUUGAUAAUUUUUCAACAUUCGUAAUUAAAACUAAAACGUGUUCGUCACUUUAGGUUAUUUUUAGCAAACAAAGAAGCAUAAACCCCCCUAUUUUUUCUUUCUUGCAUGCGUUUUACAUUACCUUAAUUUCAACUCUCUUCAAAUAGAUUUAACACGAGCUUCUUCGUGGGACGAUUCCCUAUUUACCCUAUAUUACCAGUUAAUGUUGGUCGAAUAGUGGAUUUAAAUUCGGUAGUUAUAAUGACAGCUACCAGAUUGAUUCGUUUUUAAGAUUUUAUGGAUUUGAUAUUUUUAUUUUCGACAUAUAUAUUGAUGUUUGAGAUUCAUAUUGAAGUUUUUUAGGUUUUGAUUAUUAUAUUAAAAUUUUGGAGUUUAUGAAUAUCGAUUAAAACUUAGAAUUGAUAUUGAUUAUACAGAUUAGAACUCACUUUUUACUGAAUUUAGCAAACAAUUUCUUCUCUCUCAAAAUCUACAACACGAUUCUCAAGUGUUCGGCAUGCUCGGAUUCAUCUCGAGAAUAAAUCAAAAUACUGUUUAUGAACACAACCACAAACUUAUCCAAAUACGGUUGGAAAAUUCGGUUCAUCAAGUCCAUAAAAAUAGCCAGAGCAUUAGUUAAACCGAAAGGCAUCACAAGAAAUUCAUAGUGUCCAUACCUCGUCCUGAAAGCAAUUUUUGGCACAUCUGACUCUUUAACUCUCAAAUGAUAGUAACCAGAUCUCAAAUCAAUCUUUGAAAACACUGUUUCCCCUUUCAACUGGUCGAAUAAAUUAUCAAUUCUUGGCAACAGAUACUUGUUCCUUAUAGUCACUUUGUUGAGCUGACGAUAGUCAAUACAAAGUCUUAUAGAGCCGUCUUUCUUCUUCACAAAUAAUACGGGAGCACCCCAAGGAGAAAAACUCGGUCUCACAAAUCCUUUAUUUGUCAACUCUUGCAACUGACCUUUUAAUUCUUUCAAUUCGGUUGGAGCCAUUCUAUACGGAGCAAUGGAGAUCUGUGCAGUCCCAGGUAACAAAUCAAUAGCAAACUCAAUCUCUCUAAUCGGAGGCAACCCAGGAAAGUCUUCUAGAAAUACAUUCGAAAACUCACAGACUACCGGCACUGAUUCAAGCUUCGACUCAGACAUCUCAGUAUUCAACAAAUAGGUAAGAUAAGCUUCACACCCUUUUCUCAUGUAUUUUUGAGCAGACAUGUGAGAGAUCACCAUAGACAAUUUAUUUGAUUCAUCAGUAAUCACAUCGGAAGAUGACGCCUCUUCAGAAGCAUUUAUGGAAAAAGCUCUAGCUUUUGAUCUCACAGCUGAAUCUUUCACCACACUCUUACUGCUAGCUCUAAUUUCGGUAUUUCUCGGUGGUCUACCUCUGCUGGCAGUAUUACCCGUUCUAACACUCUGAAUUUUUUCUUCUUCAACCUUCUCAGGGCAAUCUUUAAUGUAGUGCUCUCGAGAACCACACUUGAAACAAGCUCGACUAACUAACCAACACUCACCAAAAUGUCGCCUACCACAAUACUGACACUUGGGUUUAUUAGACCUCACAUUACCCACACUUGCCAUUGAAGUAGCUUGAACUUUAGAACUCGAAUAUGAUCUCCCACGAUCUCGGUGCAAAUACCCAACUGAAACAGUUAAUCGAGGAUUCAUCUCUUUGGACUUCUUUGAUUGAGAUUGGAAUGACUUACUCAUUGGCCCUUUUCUUGCAUCUCGGGCCUCAAUCAUAGCUUUUCUCUUUUCUUUGUUCAGUUCUUAGGCCUUGCAAGCCCGAUCAACUAGUACAACAAAUUCUUUUAGUUCAAAAAUCCCAACUAAUAAUCUGAUGUCUUCAUUUAACCCAUCAUCAAAUCUCUUACACAUGAUAGACUUUGUGGACACACACUCCUGAGCAUAUUUACUAAGUCUAACAAACUCUCAUUCGUAUUCUGCAACAGAUAUUCGGCCCUACUUUAACUCGAGAAACUCUUUGCGUUUUUGAUCAAUGAACCACUACCUUAUAUACUUCUUUUUGAAUUCCUCCUGGAAGAAAUCCCAUGUAACCCUUUCUUUCAGAACCACUGAUGCUAGUGUCUUCUAUCAAUGAUAUGCUGAAUCCCUCAGUCAAGAUAUAGCACACUUCAAGCAUUUUUCGGGAGUACAAGAUAGCUUAUCAAAUACCCAAAUUGAAUUCUCAAGCCAAAACUCUACUUUCUCAUGAUCAUCAUUUAUAUUAGCUCUGAAUUCUUCAGCCCCUUACUUUCAAAUUUUAUCAACUGGAGGCUUAUUCAAUCUUACCAAAUCAACACCUUGGGGAGCUACGGGGACCGAUUGGGGAAUAGGAGUGGGUGGAGGAGGUUGAGCAUUCGAAAACACUCAAACAAAUUCUGUAUACCAAUUAUUCAUCAUAUAGAGGAAAGCUUCCCGAGCCCCAUCUCCCUGACUAUGUGUUAUAGGUCUAAUAUCUACUGGUGUGGUCCCUUGCGCGGGAUCCAGUGCAUUACUCUCUACAUCAUCAGCUACUGCUCGGUCGGGAUCCAUUUACUAUAUAAAAACAUAAUUUAAAUUGCCAGGAGUCAUCACACUAUCAUAGUAUAUUUAUGGCAUGUAUAGAUUGACUUUCACACCCAUUAUGUUUGUUCAAGCAUGGAGAAGAUGGACACAAUUUUGGCAUUGUUUUCCCUUUUUUUUUAAUUAACCAAAUUAUCAAAAUGCCCUUUAUUAAAAACUAUGGUAUUUUAUCAUUCCUUAGGUAUUUUCUCCAAACUAAAGUAUAAUGGUCUAAUUACUAUCUAAGGACCUCCACUUUAAAAACCCAUUACAAACAAGUACCUUUAUGAACUAGAACACACAUUUUCACCUAUUGUAAUUUAGUCCUAAUCAUCAAAUUGGACACCCAAUCGAUAGAAUUUCAUAGCGAAAAUUUCACAGUCAUUCAAUUAAUUGCAAAAAAAUUUUCUACUUCAGAUUUGUAGUUUUGAAACCACUAUUCUAUUUAGGCCCUAAAUCGGGUUAUUACAACUUCCCCAUUUAGAGAUUUUCAUCACCAAAAAUCUUAACAGAAAAGAGGUUUGGGUACUAUUUUCUCAUGGCUUCCUUCGGUUCCCACGUAGCCUCUUCUACUCCAUGUCUUUGCCACAACACUUUCACUAUGGCUAUACUUUUAUUUCUUAAUUGUUUAACUUCUCCAGCCAAAAUCUUUACCGGUUCCUCAUCAUAGGUCAUAUCUCGUCGAAUCUCAAUCUCUGUCAGAGAAAUUACAUGUGAAGGAUCAGAACGAUAGCGUCGCAACAUUCACACAUGAAAUACAUUAUGUAUCCUUUCCAACUCUGACGGUAAAUCUAACUGAUAAGCCAUGGGUCCAAUCCUUUCAAUGACCUCAUACGGCUCAAUGAAACGCGGACUCAACUUGCCUUUUUGACCAAAUCUCAAAAUCUUCUUCUACGGAGAUACUUUCAGAAACACUUUAUCACCAACUUGAAACUCGAUCUCUUUUCUUUUCAAAUCCGGUGAUAACACUCUAGAAUAACGUAUUUUUAUGCAUUAAUUAUGUAUUUAUUCUGAGUAUGAUCCUGCUAAUUUGAGCUAUUUAUGAUCUUUUACUCAUAGGGACUAAAUUUGAGGCAAAAGUGAAAUUAAGGGACAAAAGCGUGAAUUUAGAGAUAAAAUGGGCCAAUGUGCGACACAAGGAAAAGUUGGUGCCAAAAGUGCAAGCAUGGAGGACACAAGGGUUGAAAUGCAAAAAGAAGAGAUUUUAUUCUAUUAAACUCUAUUUUAAUUAUAUUAGGGUAAUUAAUAUUGAGAUAAUUAUUAAAGAUUAUUUUUAGGAUUUUAUUUUAUCUUUAUUUAUCUUCAAUUAAAUGUAUUUAUCUUUUAGGAAUUUAAGUAGGAUUAGAAUAUCUCCCCUAGCACUAUAAAUAGGGGUAAAGUGACUCAAAAGGGGAUCCCAUCUUUUCUUUUUCUGUAAACACUCUCUCCCCAAAAGUCUAGGCUUUUGUUCUUUUCAUAUUUCCUUUCAAUAAAAUCUUUAUUUUUAUUUUAUUUAUUUUCUUUUCUACCACAACCAUGAGCCACUAAACUCAUCUAGCCGAAGGUUGUCAAAAAUCCCCAAAAAGGUUCAUGAGGCUUAGAAUCAGUACUUAACCUCCUUGCUGAGUAUUCAUCGUUUCUCCGCACUACGAGGCUGACGCUUCUGUCCAAGUCCCUUAAGAAGUAAGUUUUUCAACGUAUGCAAAGGCGGCCACUUUGAAUGUUUUGGGAAUGUUGCACAGUCGGUUCGUUAGCUUACUGCGUCAGAGGUUGGCGAGCCCAAGAGAUAAAAUGGUGUGGGAUUCACCAUUGAGAAUCGUUGAUCUAGCAUAAGACGAUCCCACAAAAGCGAUUGUUGGCUAGAGUCAGGUUCCACUAAAUUGUAAGUCUAAAUCCUUGAAGCUGGUGGUCGUAGGCGUCCUUUUCCACUAUAACUGGCUUAUUCGGUUUGGGAAGGAUCAUCUAAAAGCUGAGGAUUGAACCCAAGGUGGAGCGAGACAACUGGAGGCUGGAAUCUCCCAUAAGAAUUUUCUUUCUCUUAACUCUAUUUUUAAUUUCUCGAAUUUUCAAUUCAAUAUUCUUAAUUCUGUUUUUAUUUUAUUUUUCGUUUCUAAAUCCAACAAUUUAAUUCUGUUAUUGUUUUUAUUUUUUUUCAGGAACGCAGGUUGUCUUGGGCAAGACUCUGCCUGGGAUUUCACAAAACAAGAUAUUUUGCAAGUCCAGUCCCUGAGGAUUUGACCCUCCUUCCCUUUUACUAUUCUUUUUCAUUAUUUAUUAGGGAUAGGAUAUUUUUUGUGCUUUCAACGACCACAUCAAAUUUUGGCGCCGUUACCGGGGACUAGCAAUGUACGAAUCUUGUUUUUUGUUUCUUAUGACCAGAUCUGCUCCAGGUACUCUUGCGUUCAAAUCAGAAAUUGAGAAGUCUGCUAGAGCCAAUCGCAAGGAGACAAAGUUACGAAAAAAACAGUCAGCGGUGGUUGAAACUCAAAGUAACCCACCGCCAGAAAUAGAAGUCGACGACGAAGCUGAGUCUAGGGUUAACGAAAACCUUACUUGAACACUUGAAAGCGAAAAAGUAGAAGUUGACUCACCAGAAGAAGUGCUUAAUGCUAGGUUGAACGAAAACCUGAAUCUAGCACACCAACCAAUGGCUUAAAUGAUUCGGCAACUGGCUGAAGCUCCGACAGAACAACCGCCAUUGUGCAUCGCGUAUCCUACCAUGGAUACUGAUUUUGAGUUGAAGUCAGGUUUAAUCCAGUUAUUGCCAACUUUUCGUGGGUUACAAAAUGAAAAUCCCCACAAGCAUCUGAAAGAAUUUCAUAUGGUUUGUCUUAGCAUGAAACCUCAGGGGUUAACUGAGGAUCAGAUUAAAUUGUGUGCUUUCCCUUUCUCCCUAGCAGAUUCCGCUAAGGAAUGGUUAUUUUAUUUACCCCCUGGAUCUAUUACAACUUGGGCUGAUCUAUCUCGUUUAUUUCUGAAUAGCUUUUUUCCAGCAUCUCAAGCAGCUGAGUUAAGAAGAAAGAUCAUUAGAAUAAGACAAAACGAAGUUGAGUCCCUUUACGAUUAUUGGGAGCGGUUUAAGAAGUUGUGUGCAAGCUGCCCACAACAUGGUAUAACAGAGCAAUCUCUCCUCCAAUACUUUUACGAAGGUUUGAAGCCCAUGGAGAUGAAUAUGGGAGACGCUGCUAGUGGAGGAGCAUUGGUCAACAUGACUCCCCAACAAGCAAGAGACUUGAUCUCCACGAUGACUGCAAAUUCUCAUCAGUUUCGAGCUAAUAAUGAACCCCGUAGAAGGGUUCACCAGCUAAGUAAUUCAACCUUAGAGGAUAAAGUUGAUAGACUUACUAAUAUGAUGAACUCUCUUAUUGCAGAAAAAGCAAAGACAGCUCGGUUAUGCGAAAUAUGUGCUACACCUGAUCAUGCAACUGAUGCAUAUCCCAGUUUGUAGGAUGAAACCACGGCCCAUCUGGAUGCUGUGGGAAAUUUUCCUGGGCCGCCACAAAGGCAAUACGAUCCCUACACUAAUACCUACAACCCAGUGUGGAGGGACCAUCCUAACUUAAGUUAUGGGGCCAAUCUACGAAAUAACCAGCCAUACCAAAAUCGAUUUCCGCAACAGCCGCAAGGUUCAGGUAAUUUUCUAGAAACCAUGGUCAAUAAGUUAGCAGCUAAUGUUCUUGAUUUUCAAUAGCAAACUCUUAAUUUCCAAAAAGAGACAAAGAAUUUCCAAAAGAAAACUGAGGUGUCCAUCAGAGAGUUGACCACAUCGAUCGAGAAAUUAACCUCUCAAGGGAAGUUGCCGUCACAAACAGAACCAAACCCUAGAAAAAAUGCAAAUGCAAUAAUGUUGCGAAGCGGAAAGGUACUGGAAUCGAUUCCUGAUAGGAAUCUUGCCCAAGAAAUCACCCAGGAAAAACCCAAAAAAAAUGAACAGGUCCGACCGAAGCCUCCAUUGCCUAAAAUUCAACCUCCAUUUCCAGAACGAUUCAACCGAUGUCGAAGAGGUAAAGAGGACAAGGAAAUUGUCAAAACAUUUAGGAAUGUCGAGAUCAAUAUUUCGCUGUUGGACACCAUCAAGCAAAUACCGAGGUAUGCUAAAUUUCUUAAAGAGCUUUGCACCAACAAGCGAAAAUUAACAGGUAAUGAAAGGGUGAAUGUUGGUGAGAAUGUAUCCGCAGUGUUACAACGGAAAAUGCCGGCAAAAUGCAAGGAUAGGGGCAUGUUUGCAAUACCAUGCAAAAUAGGCCAUAUGGGAAUUAAAAAGGCUAUGUGUGAUCUAGGGGCUUCUAUAAAUGUAAUGCCAUAUUCUAUUUAUGAAUCACUUAACGCGGAUUUUUUUGACAAAAACAGGUGUUAUCAUUUAAUUGGCGGACAGGUCUGUUGUGCAUCCAGAAGGAGUCCUUGAGGAUGUUCUGGUAAAAGUUAACGAUCUUAUUUUCCCUGUAGAUUUUUAUGUGAUCAAAAUGGAGGAGGAUAGCACUCCUGGAUCUUCAGAUCUCCUACUGGGUCGACCGUUCCUUAGUACAACUAGUACUAAAAUUGAUGUUCGAAGUGGAACUCUCACGAUGGAGUUCGAUGGGGAGAUCGUAAAGUUUAAUGUCUACGAUGCCAUUAGCCAUCCAACCGAAAUCUUGAGCGUAAAUCGUAUUGACAUAAUUGACUCUUUGGUGGAAGAGAAUUUUGAGUCAAUUUAUGGAGAUAAUUCUGAACUUAAUGAAUUUGAAUUUGUUAACGAGUUAUUAUCUUCAAAUACUAAACUGCUACCUUCUGUUAUACAGGCACCAGAGCUGGAGUUAGAACCCCCAGGAAAGGCUAGGAAAUUAGACAACCAAGAGUUAGAAGAAAUUCACAAUGAUGCCUACGAGAAUGCUCACAUUUAUAAAGACAAAACAGAGUUGUUUCACGCUAAGAGAAUAGCUCAAAAGCGUUUUUCGGUAGGACAAAAAGUUUUACUUCAUAACCCCGUGUUAAAGUUAUUCCCAGGUAAGCUUCGAUCACGAUGGCAAGAACCUUUUAUUGUUACUAAAGUGUUCACACAUGGAGCGGUUGAAAUAGAGAGUGAAGAAUCUGGAAAGCAGUUCGUAGUCAAUGGCCAGCGGUUGAAGCCAUUUUAUGAGAAUUUUCAAGCCCACACGGUUGAUGAAAUCCAUUUGGAACCACCAUAGAACCAAUAACGGCGUCGAGCUAACGACGUUAAACAAGCGCUUGUUGGGAGGCAACCCAAUUUUUAUUUUUAUUUUUUAUUAGUUAUUAUUAUUUUUCUUUACUUUAUUUAUUACUUUAUUUUAUUAUUUAUUACUUAUUUGGAUAUUAAUCAAUUUUUCUUCUUUUGCUUAGAAAAAAAAUGAAGCAAAACCGUUAAGCAACACUUAAAGCGUAUUGAGGCUUGACUUGAAACCUUUGGCCAGCAAUUGACCAAGCUCAUUGCCAUCAGUUGUGAUCACACGGGGAGUUUUUCUAAACUUUUUUACCUAUUUAUUUCUUUUCGUCCACAUUGAGGACAAUGUGCUUUCAGUAGGGGGAGGUACUCUUCGUUAUUACUAUCAUUUUCUGCUGUGAUUUUGGUUAUUGUUGCUGUUGCUGUGAUUAUUUUUGGCUGGUGUUGCUGCUUGAGGCUUUAUUUUGUCCAUAUUUAUUUUUUUGGAAUCUCCUGCCUCUUUUCAUGCCCAAGAUUUUUACCAAGAAUUGCCUACUGUUUGACCUACAAGCAUGAUUCUUGUUUUCUGAGAAAAUUACGAAUUUUCCAUAAUUGAUGCCAUCUCCACUGUUUUAUUCUUAUUAGACUAAAAAUAAUUGUGAUUCAUAAAGUUAACUUUAUCUUGCUUUUCAUAAAAUUGAUCAAGUUUAAAUACAAAGUGGACACUUAAUAUGUUGCAUGCUAAAAUAUGUUGAUGACUAUUAAGGUAAUUACUGAAACUUAUUUUCGACACUUGAUUAUUAUUAUUCCUUUUUUCCUCUAAAGUCCUCAUAAAAAAAGUUAUUAUUAAUGUCGUUUAAUGUUUCCGUGGUUAUGAGUGCAGCUUAAAAACGUGACUGACUGAGUAACCGGGGUAGGGUGCUUGGGUUGUCAUCCUAUUUCGCGUCAAAAGGUUGUGUGACGUGUUAGAUAAAACUCCGCUAACUGGAAUUAAUCUUUAAGAACAUGUUGGGCUGAGUAACCGGGGUGGGGUGCUUGGCUGUCAUCUCUCUUCGCGUCAAAAGGUUCGAUGUGUUCUUAAGAAAAAAUUAUAAUAAAUUAGGAGUCUGUUGGGCUGAGUAACUGGGGUGGGGUGCUUGGUUGUCAUCCCUCUUCACGUCAAAAGGUUCAGUAUAUUCCUAAAGCAAAAAAAAGAAGAAAAAAAUAAUAAUUUGGGGACUAAAGGAGGAAACAAAUAGGGUGUCUUGGUAAGUUUGGUAAUUUACCUAAUUUUCAUUAAAUAAUUCAAGCCGAUUCUAAUUUUUGUGUGUAUUAAUUAGAAAACUUUUUCUAUUUUACUUAAAGCAAGCUUAGGGUUUUCUUUAUUUUUCAUAUGCAUUUUUGACUGAUUUCUAUAAAACUUUGGAAGUGGUAUUUCUUUUAUGGCAGAAUCUAACAUUCAUAGUAGAUACAAACCAUACUUGAGGGCAAGCAUGGGCUAAGUAGGGGGAUUUGAUAACACUCUAGAAUAACGUAUUUUUAUGUAUUAAUUAUGUAUUUAUUCUGAGUAUGAUCCUGCUAAUUUGAGCUAUUUAUGAUCUUUUAUCUCAUAGGGACUAAAUUUGAGGCAAAAGUGAAAUUAAGGGACAAAAGCGUGAAUUUAGAGAUAAAAUGGGCCAAUGAGCGACACAAGGAGAAGUUGGUGCCAAAAGUGCAAGCAUGGAGGACACAAGGGUUGAAAUGCAAAAAGAAGAGAUUUUAUUCUAUUAAACUCUAUUUUAAUUAUAUUAGGAUAAUUAAUAUUGAGAUAAUUAUUAAAAAUUAUUUUUAGGAUUUUAUUUUAUCUUUAUUUAUCUUCAAUUAAAUGUAUUUAUCUUUUAGGAAUUUAAGUAGGAUUAGAAUAUCUCCCCUUACACUAUAAAUAGGGGGUAAAGUGACUCAAAGGGGGAUCCCAUCUUUUCUUUUUCUGUAAAUACUCUCUCCCCAAAAGUCUAGGCUUUUGUUCUUUUCAUAUUUCCUUUCAAUAAAAUCUUUAUUUUUAUUUUAUUUAUUUUCUUUUCUACCACAACCAUGAGCCACUAAAUCCAUCUAGCCGAAGGUUGUCAAAAAUCCCCAAAAGGUUCAUGAGGCUUAGAAUCCGUACUUAGCCUCCUCGCUGAGUAUUCAUCGUUUCUCCGCACUAUGGGGCUGACGCUUCCGUCCAAGUCCCUUAAGAAGUAAGUUUUUCAACGUAUGCAAAGGCGGCCGCUUUGUAUGUUUUGGGAAGGUUGCACAGUCGGUUCGUUAGCUUACUGCGUCAGAGGUUGGCAAGCCCAAGAGACAAAAUGGCGUGGGAUUCGCCAUUGAGAAGCGUUGAUCUAGCAUAAGAUGAUCCCACAAAAGCGAUUGUUGGCUAGAGUCAGGUUCCACUAAAUUUUAAGUCUAAAUCCUUGGAGCUGGUGGUCGUAGGCAUCCUCUUCCACUAUAACUGGCUUAUUCAGUUUGGGAAGGAUCAUCUAAAAGCAGAGGAUUGAACCCAAGGUAGAGCGAGACAACUGGAGGCUGGAAUCUCCCAUAAGAAUUUUCUUUCUCUUAACUCUAUUUUUAAUUUCUCGAAUUUUCAUUUCAAUAUUCUUAAUUCUGUUUUUAUUUUAUUUUUUCAUUUCUAAAUCCAACAAUUUAAUUCUGUUAUUGUUUUUAUUUUUUUCAGGAACGUAGGUUGUCUUCGGCAAGACUCUGCCUGGGAUUUCACGGAACAAGAUAUUUUGCAAGUCUAGUCCCUGAGGAUUUGACCCUACUUCCCUUUUACUAUUCUUUUUCAUUAUUUAUUAGGGAUAUGAUAUUUUUGGUGCUUUCGAUGACCACAUCAUCUGGGUAUGAUUUUUGUCGAUCUGAAGUAGCUUUCAGACAAUCACGGAUUACUUUCACUUUCUCUUCGGUUUCUCUAACCAAAUCAACCCUGUGAAUCUGUUUCUCAUUGAGCUCAGUCCAAUACAAAGGAGUUCUACACUUGUGACCAUACAAUGCUUCGUACGGUGUCGUCUGUAUACUUGACUGAUAACUGUUGUUGUAAACAAAUUCAACCAAAGGUAGGUAUUUUUCCCAACUACCCUCGAAUUCUAAAACACAACAUUGGAGCAUGUCUUCAAGAAUCUAAAUUACUCUUUCGGAUUGAUUGUUAUUUUGCGGAUGAAAUGCGGUACUAAAAUUCAAUCUCGUACCCAAUGCUUCUUGCAACUUUUUCUAAAACCUCAAAGUGAACUUCGAAUCUCUAUCCUAAAUAAUAGACAUAGGCACUCAGUGUAAUCUCACAAUUUUAGCAAUAUACAACUCAACCAACUUAUCAAGUGAGUAGUUGGUACGUACCAGUAUAAAGUGAGUCAAUUUUGUCAAUCUAUCAACAACAACUCAAACAACAUCUUUCUUUUUAGGAGUCAGAGGCAAACUUGUCACAAAAUCCAUUGUGAUUCUGUCCUAUUUCUACUGGGGAACCAUCACUGGCUGAAGUAAACUCGAAAGCAUCUGAUGCUCAGCCUCAACUUGUUGAAAAAUCAAACACUCUGAUACAAAUUCAGAAAUAUAUCUUUUUUUAUACCUUGCCACCAAUAUAAUUUCUUUAAAUCAUUGUACAUUUUAGUACUACCCGGAUGAAUUGACAAACAACCAAUAUAUGCCUCAUGUAAAAUUUUCUGAAUCAACUCAUCAUUCUUCGGUACACAUAUCCUGCCUCAGAACAUCAAACAAUCAUCUGAACCGAUCUGAAAAUCUGAAUCAUUACCCGAUUCACAAUGAGAUCUUUUAGCUUGCAAUUCCAUGUCAUUCUUCUAAACUUCACAAAUCUGCUGAAGGAAUAAUGGUCUAGCCUUCAACUCAGCCAAAAUCGAACCAUCAUCAGAAAAUGUCAAACUCAUAGCUCUCAAAGCAUACAAUGAUUUUCUGGUCAAGGCAUCUGCGACUACAUUCGCUUUCCCUGGAUGAUAAUCAAUCACUAGCUCAUAAUCUUUUAAUAAUUCGAGCCACCUCCCUUGUCACAAAUUUAAAUCCUUUUGAUUCAUUAGAUGCUUCAAACUUUUAGGAUGGUAAAGAUUCAGCAUUUCUCACCAUAAAAAUAAUGACGCCAAAUCUUCAAAGCAAAGACGAUGGCAACCAAUUCCAAAUCAAGCGUCGGAUAGUUUUUCUCAUGCGAUUUUAGCUAUCUCGAGCCACAAGCUACCACUUUGCCAUCUUGCAUCAGCACACACCUAAGACCAUUCAAUGACGUAUCACUAUAUAUCACAAAAUCUUUCCCCGACUCACAUUGUACCAAAAUCGAUGCUUCAGUCAAUCAUGCUUUCAGCUUCUCGAAACUUUGUUGACAUUUAUCUGUCCACUCAAAAUUUACAUUCUUUUGCAACAACUUAGUCAUAGAAGUAGCAAUCAUCAAAAAUCCUUAGACAAAACGUCGAUAGUACCCAGCUACCACAAUGCUGACACUCGGGUUUAUUAGACCUCACAUUAACCACACUUGCCAUUGAAGUGGCUUGAGCUUUAGAACCCAAAUAUGAUCUCCCAUAGUCUCGGUGUGAAUACCCAGCUGAAAUAGUUAAUCGAGGAUUCAUCUCUUUGGACUUCUUUGACUUAGAUUGGAAUGACUUACUCAUUGGCCUUUUUCUUGCAUCUCGAGCCUCAAUCACAGCUUUUCUCUUUUCUUUGUUCAGUUCUUAGGCCUUGCAAGCCCGAUCAACCAGUACCACAAAUUCUUUCAGUUCUAAAAUCCUAACUAACAGUUUGAUGUCUUCAUUUAACCCAUCCUCAAAUCUCUUACACAUGAUAGCCUCUAUGGACACACACUCCUAAGCAUAUUUACUGAGUCUAACAAACUCUCUUUCAUAUUCUGCCACAGACAUUCGGUCCUGCUUUAACUCGGGAAAUUCUUUACGUUUCUAAUCAAUGAAUCAUUGCCUUAUGUACUUCUUUCUGAAUUGCUCCUAGAAAAAAUCCCAUAUAACCCUUUCUUUCAGAACCACGAAUGCUAGUGUCUUUCACCAAUGAUAUGUUGAAUCCCUUAGUAAAGAUAUAGCAUAUUUCAGGCAUUCUUUAAGAGUAUAAGAUAGCUCAUCAAAUACCUGAAUAGAAUUCUCAAGCCAAAACUCUACUUUCUUGAGAUCAUCAUCUAUAUUAGCCCUGAAUUCUUUAGUCCCUUGCUUUUAAAUUUUAUCAACUAGAGGAUUAUUCAAUCUUACCAAAUCAAAACCUUGGGGAGCUACGGGGACCAGUUGGGGAAUAGGAGGGGGUGAAGGAAGUUGAGAAUUCGAAUUCGCUAUAACAAAUUCUGUAUACCAAUUAUUCAUCAUAUGGAAGAAGGCUUCUCAAGCCCCAUCUCUCUGACUAUGUGUUCUAGGUCUACUAUCCACUAGUGCGGCCCCUUGCAUAGGAUCUAGCGCAUUACUCUCUACAUCAUCAUCUAUAGCUCAGUCGGGAUCCAUUUACUAUAUAAAAACAUAAUAUAAAUUGUCAGGAGUCAUCACACUAUCACAGUAUAUUUAUGGCAUGUGUAGAUUGACUUUCACACCCAUUAUGUUAGAAAACUUGAGGAAUUAGGGGAAGGGUGUUGAAAUUGUGGAAAAGGAAGAACAGAGGUAACAAUCAAAUUUUUGAUAAACUCCCUCCAAUCCCUUAACUUUCUCCCAUAUCUGUAACUUCCCUCCUAAAAACUGUCCAUCACACUCCCACUAACCCUCAAAUUCCCCUCAAAUUGUCCACCCUAAUCUCCUCAACAACCGAAUUCAAAAUCCACUCCAACUCUACAAAAUUUCAGUCAAACUACAACACCCACACGGCACAAGCAGUAAAAAUAAAUCCCAUUUUUGGCAAGUACUUGAACUCUAGACCUCCUGCUCAUUUGCCCUCCAUUUAACCACCAGACCAGCAAGCCCAUUCUGACAUAUUUUUACCAACUUUUAACUAUAAGCCUAUUGAACAAAAGCAAUGAUUUAUUUAAUUAAAACAAAGAUGUAGCUCAAGACAAGACUUGAACCCAAAACUUCUCAAACAUUCCCAGGACACAUAACCAUUCACACAGACAAAUAUUUGUGUCACAAAAACACAGAAAUAAAUAUAUAAGAGAUUUUUGGGGUGCUACAGAUGGGCUUUUUGAGGUUUUACUCAGAGUGUAGGGAUGGGUGGGUUGAUUUAAUCCUUACAGUAAGUGUUGGGUUGGACUGAGAUGGUGUGUUGGUUGGAUGGGUGGGUUAUUUUAUAACUCAUUUGCAGUCACUCAUAUGCAUCUGAUUGAGCUGUGACUGAAUGUGAUGGUACUACGCGACUGAAAAGCAUUUGUGCCUAUGUAAAUUCUGUAAACUCUGACUGUAUCUGAUUGACUGAGUAGAUACUUAUGUCUGAAUGAGAAUUUUUGAUUGUGUGACUGAUUGUCUCAUAUGACUACAAGGCACUUAUGGCUUUGUGUAAUUAUUGAACUCUUAUUGUAACUGACUGGUUGAAUAGAACUAGUGACUGAUUGUGAUUCGUAUUACUCGAUUGAGAUUUCUAUCUCAAGCUUACUAUCUGUUUCUGUAAGUAUGUUCUGCUUUGGAACUACUCUCUGGUUUUCUGCUCUAAAAUAGUAGUUGAUGGUUUCUAAUCUCACAUUGAGCUCGUGUAGCUCACCCCCUCUUCUAUUUCCCCUUUCAGGUACCUUUCAAAAUUCUGUUGCUGGACCUAGUACGCGGAGGCCUCGGACAAUCACGGUUGCAAAAGAUUAUUUUGGUUUUAUUUUCUGAUUUAUAUCUUGAUUACACUGUUUUGGAAUUGUAAAAGAGUUAUAAUAUUGUGGUACAAUUUCUGUUUUAGACUUUCACUCUUUUAUUUGAUUUCGACUAUGUAUUAAACUUAUUUGUAAUUUAUAUUAAAAUAUUUUAUGCAAUGGAAUAUUCGGUUAGAUAUGAUAACUUGUUUGUAAAAAAUUUUCAUGAUCACUUCGGUGAUCAAUGUAGCAUCCUGAAUUCGGUCUAAACUUUUAGGUCGCGUUGGGGGUGUUACAAUAAUAAAUUAUAUUAUUUAUAAAAUUAUUAAUUUAAAGACCAAAGUCGUUACAUGAUCCUAUAUCAUAUCCUUAUGUUAUAUAAAUAGACAAAUAUAUUUAAAAUAAUACUUUUUAUAUGUUAAUUGACAGUAUUGGGAUUUAACUGUCAGCCUUUUUCAUUAGUGCUUGAAUUCUUUAAUAUAAAAUUAAGAUGACCAUAAAAUAUAUUGUGAUUGUUAGCACUAAUUAAUGGUUAUGGAUGUUUAUGCUUUCAAUUUUCUCUUUUAACCUCCACUGUUUUCUUCUUUAGUUAAAUCACACCACUAUAGGGUGAAAUUUGUUAGGCCCACAAAACCUUUAAUUGAUGACUUAGACUUGCUUUUUGUUUCAAUUAAUGUAAUUUACCCACAAUUCUCUUCUUAAUUUCAUAUGAAGCAAAAAGAGAUAUGGGUCCUGAAUUCUUCAAUAAUAUGAAUCAGAAAAUGUCUUUUACUUUUUGACAAUAAUCACUAAUUAAGGAGCAAAUACUGGGCCUGUUUUGCUGUUGUUUUUAUUUCCACUUCACCUUUAAAAUGUAUUCUUCACUUUUUCUUACUAAUAAACUUUUUAAACACUACUUAGACUUACUUUUUGUGUUAAUAAUUUCAACAAGUUUCCUCUUAGUUAUUUAUAAGGUGAGAGAGAUUGAUUGCUAAGCGUAACCUUAACAAAUAUAGUUAAUUUAUUAAUUUAUACAUCAAUGAUCAAACUCAUGAAUCAGAAGAAGAUUUUACCUUUUUCUAGAUUUUCAUCGAAUUGGGUUUUUUUUAUAUUUUAUUUUACGAUUUUUGUUAUGUAGUUUUAAGUUUAGUUUUAGUUUUUAAUUUUAAUCCUUCUUUGUUUUUAUUUUCUUUUAUUAAAGAAAUAGAAUUAUCAUCUGUUUAUGUGGAUUCGACCCUACUCAUUGUUAUAAUGUAAUGUCCCAAAAAUUUGUGUUUUGAAUUGUUAGAAUUAAAUUAGUCCCUAUAUAUUAGAUCAAAUAGAAAAAUGAUUCUUCUAUUAAAAAUUUCACCCAUUUCUAUUGCUAAAAAUUGGUUCCUUUACAUCAGCAUGAGGUACACGCGGUACAUCACAUAUUAUUGUCUAGUUAUUCUGUCAGUCACGCCAAUUUUUAACAGUACAAAUAGAUGAAAAUUUUAAGAGAGACUCUUUAAUCUAAUGUAUAGGAACUAUUUUUUUUAGUAGAAAAGACAAAAUACAAUUUAAUUUUUAGUACAAAACUCACCAUUAUACUUUCACCUAUUUCAAGCAUAUAAUAUUAAAUUAAGAAUAGUAGUUAUACUUAUAUUCAACCAUCAUCUUCAAUCUAAAAAAUCACAGGUAAACCCUAGUAUGCUAUCCCAUAAUAAUUUAUAAAUAUUUACACUUUUAUAUUUGGAAAGAGUUGUAUUAUUGGCAUGAAACAAUGUAGGGAAACUUGUGAUGGAGACAUUUGCAUAAAUUAUAGAUAUAUAAGAGGGAGGGAAUGGUAAAAAGAGGAUGAUUGAAACUGUGCAGGUCAAAGUUUUGUAUGUAUAUAUAAUUAAUGAAGGGACCCCAUUGAAGCAUAGAGUGUAGCAAGGGUGACCCAGUUCAUGUGAGUAUUGUAUGAGUUAUUGGGAAUUUAUGGGAAAUUUUGCUUGGCCUUAAUACGGAAAUUUAUCUCUUAUACAAUUAAUAGUAAGUUUCAAAUGUGCUAUUUAGUUUAAAAAGGUUAUAUUAGACUCCAAAUUUUAGGAAAUAUAUAUGAUUGUAUCAAAAAUUUUAUAUAAUUAAUUAUUUACAUGGAUCAAAAUUAAUUUUGAUUUAUAACGCCAAAAAAUUUGUAUUUUGAAUUGUUUUAUAUACCACUAAAAAAUUAAAUUAAUUAAAAAUUAAAAUUUUUCAAUGAUUUAAAUUUUUAUAUACCUCUGAUAAUUCAAAAUAACAAUAAUCGAUAGAAUUUUUCUAUAAAAAAGUGAAAAAUGGUAUUAAAGAACUAAUUACCAUUUAAUGUUUCAAUUAAUUUUAUUUUAUUUAUUUUAACAUUAUAGUAUGUUUAAAUUUUUAUUUUUUUAGAAUAAGAUGAAUUAUUUAAAAAUUAAAGCUAAAUAUAUAAAAUAAUAUUUUUCAUAAUUUAAAAUCUAUAUUAAUAAAAAAUUUUAAUUAUAUUUUUGUAAUUAAUUUUAAAUAAUAUAUCAAAUUAAUUUAAUUGAAAUGAAUAUCAAUGAAAGAAAUAUAGGAAAAAUAAAUUGCAUUAAUAUAGUUAUACAUGCAUUUAUCAUUUUCCACACCAUUGAACUUUUAAUGGACACUUGCUUUUAUUUUAUUUAUUUUGAACACAAGUUUUUUUUUUUGGUGAAUUACAAGAGAAGGGUAAAGCUUAACAACAACAUGAUUAGCGUGACUCAAACCGAGAUCAUCUGGAGCGAUGAAUACCCUAACCGUUUGGCCAACACAUGGAUUCACAAGUUUCUUAAUUCAGCAUUAGGAAACUAUUGGCUUUGAGUUAUUUAAUAUUGUUCAUACUAUGUAAUUGUUGAGUUGAAUUACUUUAAAUAGGAGUCAUUCCUAUUUUUGACACUCCAAAAAAAUACAUGUAAAUGCGCAGUUAGGCUGUGUGUAGUAAUGCUUUUAGAAAUACUUUUGACAUAAAAAUCACUUUCGAAUAAAAGGAAUGCUGAAUAAGCAUUUUUUGAAAGAAUUCUUUGCUUUUCAAAGACACUUUUCCCCAAAUGGAAAAGCUAAAAUUUUUAAUUUUUCUCUUAAAAGCAUUUUUGACACUUUUUAAAAGCAAUGCUAAAUUAGCCCUUAGUUUUCUAUUACCAUUUAAAUGGCAGAAUGACCAAUUUUAUCAAUUUCCUUUUUGGGUGACCAAAUAAAUAAAAGAAAAAUGUGACCAAAAUAAGAAUGACCCUUAUUUAGGGCAAAGCACCAAAUAUGAAUACAAGACAAUAACCAUUGCAACUAUUCUUUUUCGUUGAUGUUUUCUGUUUUAAUUACAAAUAUUUAAGUUAGUUGAAUAUUGAUAUCACAUUCAAUUGCUUAAAAUAUUUUGGUUUGUGAAUUAGAAUAAUUAAAUCUAUAAUUGUUUAAUUAAUUAUAAUGCUUGCAUUGAAUAGCAUUAUUGGAUAUAAGUUACGUAUGCAAUUCAUGUUACAUGAACAUAUGAUCUAUUCUAAAUGAGCCUCGCUUAAUGCUACCAAUAAACUAAAUCUUAGACUCGAACUGGUGGUUUAUUGAUAAGGGAAAUAAUUUCAAUUAAUUAUAAUGUUUGCAUUGAAUAUAAGUUACGUAUGCAAUUCAUGUUACAUGAAUAUAUGAUCUAUUCUAAAUGAACUUCGCUUAAUGCUGGUGGUUUAUUGAUAAGGGAAAUAAUUUCAAUGAGUUUCGUCUUUAUUAUCAACAAAGUAAGAAGAAAUUGAUUGCUAAGCGAAACAUAAAUAAUUAUAACUAAUCUAUUAAAGAACUAUAAAACUAUCUUUACAUCGAUGAUUAAACUCAUGAAUCAAACAAAAAUUUUAGCUUUUGCUAGAAUUUUAUCGUAUUAGUUUUUCUUAUAUUUUAGAAAGCCUUCCCUAAAAUAAAGACCAAAGUCUUUCCUUUUUGCCAUAUCUUAUUUUAUAAAUAUAAAAAAAAGUGUGUAUUUUUUCCAUAUGUUUAAAAAUCAUACUUUUUUUUAUCUCAUAUAUAUAUAUAUAUAUAUAUUUGAGUGAUAUCCAACUGAAGCAUUUAUUGAAAAAGUACAAAAAAACCACCUCACACCAACAUUCUCAAACCCAAGGAACAAAACAAAUAAAACGGUUAAAUUAAUUAUAUAUGCGCUUUCUUUUAUUUGGUCUUGUUUUUAUUUAAUUUGAGAAAAUAGAUUUUUAGGGAGGUAGUAUGAAAACGUAUCUAGUUAGACACAUAUUUCAACGAUUAUUUUUUUGAACGUUGGUAACGAUAAAAUGUUUUAAGGACCCCAACGAUAAUUUUUCUUUAUAAAUAUUAGAUUUUUUUUUAUUUUUACUCAAAUCCAACUCUCUCUAUUUUUUCUAAACUCUCAACUCUCUCAAUUUUCUAAAGUUUUAUUCCUGAAUAUUCUAUGACUUUCCCUUUUAUCUUCUUAUGUUUGUCAUAUAUACGUCUUAGAAUGCUCGAAAAAUAAAAAAAAAAUGUUUUCUCACAAUUGAAGGUACAAAUCUGUGAAAUUGACACAGCCUACCACAUUUCUUUGUGGUAGGCCAUUUGGGUCACAUGGCUGUGUAGCUAGGCCAUGUGGAAGGGGUCAGCCUGUGUGGCUCUUGUAACUUGUUAUGAUUUUUUUUAUUUUUGCUCAUUUUUCACUCCUUUUGGUCCCAAAUACUCUCUUAAGUAUAAAAACAUGAAUUUAAAAGAUUAAGAGCAUAAAAUUCAUCAUUAAAAUCGAAUAAUCACCCAAAAAUGCAUUAAGAAUGAGGUUAAAACAUGUUACUAUUAGCACUUAUCAAAGCACAACAAAUUAAUGUAUAUAUACUAUCAAAUAAAUUUUGAUAUUUGAUAUUUGAUAAAUUUUGUUUGUGCAUUGGGGUGGGACUUGUGUAUAUCGGGGAAGUGUAAGCAAAUAUAUCUUUGUCGUAUCUAGUGGCACAAUCACACAUAUCUUUGUAAAAGGCGAUAAAUCGCUUAAUGAACUGGCAGCUAAGCUGCAAAUAUUCUGAAAAGUGUCAUACCGACACUAAACGAUGUGUAGGGCCAGAUGAGUAUUCAAUACCCUAUAUGGUGUGUUGGAUGGUUGGAGAUGGUGUGUAGCGGAUGGGGGUAUGAUUGUAAAUCUACAUCUAUUGUGUUCUAAUACGGUUUUUAUUUUUGAUAUAUGUCUGAUUAAUUUCUAUUGACGAUAUGAUAUGUUACACACUGAGUUUCAAAACUCAUUCUUUGUUUAUUUGCUACUUUUAGGUAACCCUCAGACUUAAGAUGGGUUGGGGCGAUAAGAGUUCGGAUAAAAUAUUUUACUUUUCUUAUGGCUAAUUAAAUAUUAGGAUGGUUGUGUUUUGUUAUUUUUGAAUUGUUUUAGACAUUUUGGGGGACCGUUCGAUUUUGGACUUUUAAAUUUCGUUUUUAACUGUUUAUUGAUUUUAAAGGGAAACUUCACGAACAUCAAAACACGGCUUAUGUUUUCCAAAUCGAAUUUAACUAAAAAUUUCGCUACAACUAAAUGUGUUUAAUCUUGUUUUCGAAAAUUGGACUUGACUGAGAUUUUUCCCGCAGUGCAACCGUAGACAUUUUCAAAGUAUAAUUGAUCAAUAGUUUCUUCGAAUCUGUUAAUGAAGAUAUGUUUUUUAGUAAGCUGAAUUUUUAUGUAACUUCUAGACCGGAAUUGGGUGUUACAAAAUUACUUUUGAAAAAAAUAAACAUACAAACAAAAUAUAACAUAAACGUAUUACAAAGAAAGCCAACACAAAUCUGUUCUUAAUAUAUAGAAAUUAGAAAUCAUCAAAAAGAAUUUAUUCAAAAGACAAACAUGUAUUAAUUUAUAAGUUUUUUAUUAAGAUUUUCUCACAUGCAGGAAAAACCACCUUCAGUCGCAGUUCUAAUCACACCUGAAAAUUAAUAAUAUAGAACUUCGUUAUUUAGUUAAGGAUAUAUUUCUCAACAUUGAAAGAACUUUGUUAAGGAGUGAAGAAAGUCAAAUUAUUACCUUGUUGAAGGACCUUUGAUUCUCCUCACUAACCUUGCUUUCAGCAGAACAAAUGUAACAUAAACCCAAUCCUUUGCAUUAUUCAUGUAACGAUAAUACGAAUGCCUCCAUGAACGCUUGAAGAACACAACACUGCAAAACCCCCAGAAACCCACAGCAAAUCCAAGUCCAAUGCCAGUGUAAAACCAUUUCAUGAACUCAUCAGAAUCUUCUUCACUUCCUACUGCAGGUUUGCCACGAGGUGGUUCCACCAUUGAGCAAUUUGGUGAAAUAGGAGGACCACAAAGUCCUCUAUUAUGGGAAAAUGACGAGGGAUCAAAGCUUUGUAGUUGAGUGCUGGUUGGAAUUUUUCCAGACAAGUCAUUAUAAGACAAGUUCAAGUUGCUUAGAAAUGUUAAUGCAGACAAGCUUGUCGGGAUGUUUCCUGAAAACUUGUUUCUUGACAGGUCAAGCACCUCUAGUUGUCUUAUAUGCCCAAUCUUUUGAAGAAUUUUUCCGUUAAAAAGGUUUCUUGACAAGUUCAAUACAACCAGUUCUUGAAGACUAAUUAAUUCUUCAGGAAUCUCUCCUGUUAAUUUGUUACUGUUGGUGCAAGAGGCAGCAACAAAACUGUUUUGAAUUUUGCUUGGAUAGCAAGCCUCGAGCCUUGCUGAAGAAACAAACUCAGAAGCAAGAACAGAAACAAAAUGCGAAUGAAAACAAGAUAAAAGAGAGAGUUUUUUGAAUGAAAGGAGCUGAUAUUUUUCAUUAACACAUCAACAAGGCAUCAAGCCAUUACAUAUAUCAGUCAACAAGUAAAACAAACAAGUAAUCACCUAAUCAACUACCUAACACCACUAAUUUGCAUUGAAACUUACAAGAUUAGCUUGUACAACUUGCAUUGCUGAUUUUUCAGUCAAUUAAUAUCAAAACAUUUACCUACUUAGUUCAACAUGAACUAGAUUACAAAAUAAUCAAAAUGCAACUAAAAAAUGGCAAGUGGAUCGGCAACUUCAAGCUUCAGGCUUCAGCUCCUGCAGAUCAAGGCUCGAAUGCCUGCUACGUCAUCUUGCAUGGCCACCUUUGCAUGGAAAGCUGGUUGCAUGGGAACUAACUUUAACACUCCUCCUUAGUUUCUAUGCUGGUUACACCUAGCUUCCCUUUUAAUUUUACAAAUCUUGACACAUUGAGUGCCUUGGUAAAAAUAUCCGCAAUUUGCUCCUCCGAAUUGCAAUGAACCAGCUCGAUUUCAUGAGCUUGUUCCAUCUCCCUUAUAACAUGUAACUUGAUAUUGAAGUGCUUGGUUCUCCCAUGGAAGAUGGGAUUCUUUGCAAUUGCAACAGCAGAUUUGUUGUCACAGUAAAUCUCUGUUGCUUCUUCUUGGUUUUGGUUUAAAUCGGCCAAGAUUUUUCUAAGCCAUAUGGCUUGAUUCACAACAGAUGCAGCAGCAACAUAUUCAGCUUCUGCUGUUGAUUGUGCCACCAGACUUUGUUUCUUAGAACUCCAGUAAAACAUGCCUGAGCCAAGGCUAAAAGCAUAUCCAGAUGUACUUCUCAUGUCAUCACAUGAUCCAGCCCAAUCACUAUCAACAUAGCCUAUCAACUUCAUACUUUCAGCUCUUUUGAACAUCACACCAUGACUAAUGGUGCCUUUGAUGUACCUUAGGACUCGUUUAGCUGCUUGAAAAUGCUGAUUCUUGCAGCAAUUCAUGUAUCUAGAUAGCACACUAACUGCAAACAUAAUAUCUGGCCUUGUUGCAGUCAAAUAUAGUAGACUACCAAUGAUACUCUUGUACAUAGUCUCACAAACUGGUUCACCAGUUUCCUGUCUUGAUAGUUUCAUUUCAACAGCCAUUGGUGUGCUUGUUGGCUUGCAGUUCUUCAUUGAGAACUUGUUUAAGAUUUUCAUAGCAAAGGAACUCUGGCUGAGAAAGAUUCCAUUUGCUGUUUGCUUCACUUCCAUUCCUAGGAAAUAAUUCAUUCUGCCUAGGUCAGACAUCUCAAACAUCUUCAUCAUUUUCUUCUUGAAAUCAUGUAGCAUGUUCUUGUCUCCUCCAGUUACUAACAAGUCAUCAAUAUAGAGUGACAAGAUAAGCUGAGUCUCAGCUUGAUUUUUCUUCACAUACAAUGUUGGUUCACUGACACUCCUCUCGAAUUCCAAACUGAGCAAGUAGGAAUCAAUUCGAGCAUACCAGGCUCGAGGAGCCUGCUUCAGGCCAUACAAGGCCUUUUUCAGCCUAUACACCAUGUGUUCUUUGCCAGUGAUCACAAAUCCUUGAGGAUGCUCGAUGUAGAUCUCUUCUUCCAGGAAACCAUUGAGAAAUGCAGACUUAACAUCAAGCUGAUGAAUGGUCCACUGAUGUUAAGCAGCUAAGGCAACUAUCAUUCUGACUGUGUCAAGCCUGGCUACUGGAGCAAAAGUUUCAAGGUAGUCCAGACCAUACCUUUGGCUAAAUCCUUUGACAACAAGCCUGGCUUUCAACUUGUUCAGACUGCCAUCUGCAUUCUGUUUUGCUCGAUAGACCCAUUUUACUCUAAUGGUCUUCUUUCCAGCAGGUUUAUCAACCAGCUCCCAUGUCUGGUUCUUCUCAAUCAUGUUGAUUUCAUCAACCAUAGCCAGUUUCCAACCUUCAUCUGCCUCAGCUUCUUCAAAACUACUAGGUUCUGCUAUAGCAACUUGUGCUCUUUCAUAAAUCUCAUCUAGGGGCCUUGUGCCUCUCACAGGCACAUCAUCAACAUCCAUCUCAGGACCAAGCUGCUCGAGUUCAGCUUGAUUAGGCACCAGGUCUUCUGAAGCAGCUUCUGGUUCACUCUUUUCCCAAUUCCAGCAAGCCUUCUUAUCAAAGAUGACAUCUCUGCUCACUUGGACUUUGUUUGUCAAAGGAUCCAGCACCCUAUAGCCCUUCUUAACUGAGCUAUAGCCUACUAGAACACCUGGUUGAGCCCUUUCAGAGAGCUUGUCUCUCUUUACUGCUGGUAUUUGUGCAUAACACAGGCAACCAAACACCUUCAGGUGUGCCAAGGAAGGCUUGAAACCAAACCAAGCCUCGAAAGGCGUCUUGGAUGCAAGGGCUUUGGUAGGAAGCCUAUUUUGAAGGUAGACAGCAGUGCUUACUGCCUCGGCCCACAUGGUCUUGGGCAGUUUCUUCUCAAACAGCAGGCACCUGGCCAUAUCCAUCAAGCUUCUGUUCUUUCUUUUUGAUACCCCAUUCUGCUGAGGUGUGUAGACAUUUGUGAGCUGGUGUUUGAUACCAGCAUCAUUACAAAUGGCUUGAAACUGAGCUGAAGUGUACUCAGUGCCAUUGUCAGACCUUACCGAUUUCAGCUUGCAACCUGUUUCUGUCUCUACAGCAGUUUUAAACUUCACAAACACUUGAGCUACCUCUGACUUGUGUUUUAAGAAGAAAAUCCAGCAAAACCUUGUAAAAUCAUCAAUGAAGAGGAUGAAAUACCUAUUUUUGCUGAGUGAUUCAGUCCUCAUCGGGCCACAUACAUUAGAGUGCACCAGCUGCAGUCUUUCAGUAGCUCUCCAAGCUGAAUUUGUAGGAAAUGGCAGUCUUGCCUGUUUCCCCAUCUGGCAAACUUCACACACAUCAUCAUGCUCCACUGAGCUGGUGAAGUUCUCUGCCAAGCCCUCUUUGGCCAUUCGAGCCAAUGAUCUAAAGUUGGCAUGCCCGAGCCUUUGAUGCCAAAGUUUGGAAUCAUCAACAGAGGCUGUGUAUGCUGACUUUGAGUCAUUUGGCCAGUGCACCUCAAAGCAUUUGUCAGUCAUUGUGACUGUCAUAAGACUUGAUCCACUUGGAUCAGUAAUGUGGCACUGUUUGUCCUUGAACACAACAGAAUAGCCUUUUUCGAGCAAUUGAGCUAUACUGAGAAGGUUUCUGUCAGGCACCAAAAGCACAUUUGGAAUAAUUUUGUUGCUUGUAGGAGUACAUAUCAGCACCUCUCCUCUUCCUUCAGCCCUUAUGAACUGACAAUUUCCAACCUUGACCUUUGUUUUACAACUUCUAUCCAAGGUUUUAAACAAGGAGGCAUCUGGUGACAUGUGGUUAGUGCAACCACUAUCCAAUAACCAUCAUUUUGAACAUUUCUUCUCAGUAGCUAAGCAAGAAACAGUAAAGACUUGCUCUUCUUGAUCACUACUGUCCUCAGCUACUCGAGCUUCAACCUUUUGUUGUUGAAAUUGACUCUGCCGCGGCUUGGUUUUGUUUUUGCAAACCCUCUCAACAUGACCUUUCUUCUUGCAGUGUUGGCAUACUGCAUCUGGCCUGAACCAGCAUCUGUCUUCUGGAUGACCUGGCCUCUUGCAAUGUCUGCAGGGCUGGUCAUUGCUCCUUGCAGCAUCAGGCUUAGGCCUACUUUUCCAAGGCUUUUUGCCUAUUGGAGCAUUGAUGCUCGAGGCUUCUUUGGCCUUGGCAUUGAAUGCACCUUCCUGAUGAUCUUCAGCUCUGCUAGCUCUUCUUUGUUCCUGAGCAUAAAAGGUGUUAAUUAGCUCAGUCAAAGAGAUGCUUGCAAGGUCUCUUGAGUCCUCUAGAGAGGAUAUCUUGGCCUCAUAUCUCUCAGGAAAAGUGGAGAGGACUUUCUCCACUAUCCUUGCCUCAUCAAAGUGCUCACCAAGGAGCCUUAUACUGUUAACCACUGCCAUGAUUCUAUCUGCAUACUGCUUCACUGUUUCUUCUUCCUUCAUCUUCAGAUUCUCGAAAUCCCUUCUUAAAUUCAACAGCUGUUGUUGUCUUGUCCUCUCAGUGCCUUGAAACUCCUCCUUAAGCUUGUCCCAGGCCUGUUUUGGAGUCUCACAGGCCAUAAUCCUUGUGAAGAUCACAUCUGACACUGAGUUUUGGAUGCAAGACAUGGCCUUAUGCCUCUUGGUUCUCUUAUCAGCAUGCUGCCUGAUUUGAGCCACUGUUGGAUUGGCUCUUAGUGGCUCUGGUUCAACAUCUGAGUUGACCACCUCCCACAGAUCAAAAGCCUGCAGGUAGGUUUUCAUUUUGACCACCCAUAUGUGGUAGCCUUCUCCAUUAAAGACUUGAGGUGCAGCUGGUGAAAAGUUUGAUGAAGCCAUAGAUUUGUAUAACAGAUCCCUUAAGAAGUAAGCUCUCGAUACCAAUUGUUGGUGCAAGAGGCAGCAACAAAAUUGUUUUGAAUUUUGCUUGGAUAGCAAGCCUCAAGCCUUGCUGAAGAAACAAACUCAGAAGCAAGAACAGAAACAAAAUGCGAAUGAAAACAAGAUAAAAGAGAGAGUUUUUUGAAUGAAAGGAGCUGAUAUUUUUCAUUAACACAUCAACAAGGCAUCAAGCCAUUACAUAUAUCAGUCAACAAGUAAAACAAACAAGUAAUCACCUAAUCAACUACCUAACACCACUAAUUUGCAUUGAAACUUACAAGAUUAGCUUGUACAACUUGCAUUGCUGAUUUUUCAGUCAAUCAAUAUCAAAACAUUUACCUACUUAGUUCAACAUGAACUAGAUUACAAAAUAAUCAAAAUGCAACUAAAAAAUGGCAAGUGGAUCGGCAACUUCAAGCUUCAGGCUUCAGCUCCUGCAGAUCAAGGCUCGAAUGCCUGCUACGUCAUCUUGCAUGGCCACCUUUGCAUGGAAAGCUAGUUGCAUGGGAACUAACUUUAACAGUUACAAGAGAGAUCAAUGGCCAGUAGCAAUCCAAGUUGUGGAUAGCUUUGCUUUGUUCCCUUCCAUGUAAGCAAUCCCUCAUCAAUAUAUCUAACCUCAAUGAUCUAUAUAGGCUCACCAUACACACCCUCCAGAGAUAAAAAUAUAUGUCCAGUAUCUAAGAUGUGAUGCUCAAUCCUUCGAUCUAAACUCACUUUUUCUGCCAUGGAAGUGAAAUUAUUGAGGCAUGGUGGUAUGGUACCAGAGAUUUUAUUUACCGAGAGGUCCAAGAUUUGUAGAUAUUUCAAUCCACAAAGUUGAUGGGGAAUCCUUCCCCUGAAUUGGUUCCCUUGAAGGCUAAGAAAAACCAACGAUGAAAGCUUCUGACUGAUCCACAUAGGUAUUUCUCCUGAUAAUUCAUUAUCACUCAAGUCGAGAAAUUUUAACUUGGCACAAUUCUGUAAAGAUGAAGGUAAUACUCCAGAGAAUUUAUUACCACGUAAACUUAGCAUUUCAAGAGAAAUCAGAGAUCCUAAGGAGCUUGGAAGUGGGCCUGAGAAACUAUUAUCACCCAAAUUCAAAGCUGUUAAAGGACUGAAACUUCCAAAACAGUCUGGAACCACUCCAGAAAAUUGAUUAUUUGAGAGAUCAAGCAAUGCCAAAGAGCCUUCAUCAUUAACAUUGCAAAUUGCAGAGACUGAACCAUUAAACUUGUUUUUGGAAAGGUUAAUGGUCCCAAUAACACCAAAUUCUAAAGAAAAACGUGGUAAUGGUCCUGAGAAAUUAUUAGAGCUUAGAUCUAGUUGGAUUAUGUGGAUAGAGUUAUUUGGAAAAGUACCACUGAUCUGAUUGAAAGACAUGUUUAUGUACGGUAAUCCCUAAAAUUUGUCCCAAAACCAGUAGGGAAGAGAAUCCGAAAUUCCUGAAGCAGAAAUAUCAAGGUAUUCCAAAACCAGUAGGAAGUCCAUUUGAGUCCGAAGCCAAUCUGGGAAAGCAGGCCCUAACUUGCAAGAGCAAAGCUUUAUUUGACUUAAUUGAAAAGGAGGAAUCCAUCCGGAGUUGAAUUUCAAAGUCAAAGAAGUGUAGGAUAAAUCCAACUCCUGUAAGUAGGUGAAAUUUGAGAAAUGAGCUUCGGAAAUCACAUCACCAUCAAAAGAAUUCCCUGUAAGCCGCCAGACAAGCAGGUUGGAAAGUUGUCCAAUGCUUUUGCUUAUGGAUCCAUUUAAAAGGUUGUACCCAAGAUCUAGAACGCUAAAAUCUGGUAGUUUUCCGAUUUCAUUCAACCCAGAAUCGCCCCUAACUUGAUUCUCAGCUAGUACCAAAAGAUUAUCACUCAGAUAAAGUUCUUGAAUAGCCUUCAUGUUCCCGAAAGCUUCUGGAAUUGGACCUUUCAACUGGUUACUUGAGAGGUCAAGUGAAACAAGGUUGCUGCUAACAUUAAACAACCAUGGAUAUAUGGCAGAAGAAGGGAGAUUAUUAUCAGAGAGAUCGAGAUAGGUGAGAGAUAUAGAAGAGUUGGCAAGGGAAAGUGAUGAAAAAGAUAUGCUUGGAAGAUCACAAUGUCUUAGACUUAGUUUUUGGAGCAAAGGAAGGUGGCUAAUGACUUGAGACCAAUCAUUGGCAUUGCUCAGGUUAGUGAAACUGAGAUCAACCUCUUUCAAACGAGAAAGAUGGGAAAGCCACUCAAGUUUUCCGACACUGAACAUUUUUUUGAAAUUAUGGCGAUACGUUACGUCUCCACCGUUACCACCCAAUCUAAGAGUUUCCAACAUUGAAAGGUUUCCAAGUAGAGAAGGAAUUGGACCUCUAAAAUUAGCAUUAGAGAGAUCCAGUAAUUUCAAUUUUUUCAAGGAACCAAAAAACUCUGGGAUGAGACUUCCAUUAAAAUCAUUACUGUUGAAAUUUAAAGAAGUCAAAUGAUGUAGUUUAAGCAGUGAAGGGCUAAUCGUACCUACUACAACCCAAGAUUUCAAGCUAAAAUCGAGAAUUUCGACGUAUCCCGUAAGGCUGUUGCAUUCGACGCCAUGCCAAAAACAGCACUCCUCAGUUUCCCAUAAAAAAAGGGCAUCGUCGCCUAACGAAUCCAUGGCUUGAAGGCUGUGCUUAAAUUCAAGUAGCGCUUUUUUCUCACUCUAUUUGGACAAUACGCUUGCUUCAGUGCAUUUCUCCUGAAGAAGAAGACAAUAUAUAGCAAAAAAUAAAACAAGUUUAUGAGAACUCUUACUUGACAUCGUAAUCAUCAAAUAUGAAGCAACAAGAAAUGAAAUAGUGUUUGAAUGGCACAUGAGCAUUCAUACUAUAUGGAUGUAUUAAACCUUUAAUGGACUACUUCAACAUUGAUUUAGAGUUUUGUGGUUUUCCUUUUUCUUGAAACGAGUAGUUGCUAAUUGGUAAGAAAAAUAUAGUGUUUGAAUGGAAGUGAUUGUAACACCUUAAUCUGACCCGAUCACUGGGUUCGAUCUAUAAUAUUUAAUUAAUUACCAUUCAAUCAUUCAUAGCAGUUUCAAAUCACACACAGUUGACACCAUUUUUUUUAUAAAACGGGGUCGACUUGGAUUUUGAAAAUGAAAACAAAAACGGGAGUCGCCACCAAUCUUUUUGAUGAGGUGUGAUCGGGUCACCUCGAAAAGUGGUUGUUUUUAAUAAAUGAUUUGAUUUUAUUAAAACAACGAUUUUGGUCCACGAAAUUCAGAAAAAUGGGUUCGGGAGUCGGUUACGUACGAGGAAGGAUUAGCACCCUCGUAAUGCCCAAAAUUGGUACCUAGUUGAUUAAUUAAUGUCUUAGUGUCGAAAAUUGAAAACUUUGAAGAAUUUUAAAAAUACAAUCCUUGUAUUGAAACGUUGAAAAUUUUCGGAAAGAAAAUGCAUAUUUCACGUUAAUCGAGAAAGAGAAUCAUAUCCAGUAAGUUAGGACACAACGUUUCGAAUUCCCGAUUCGCGAAUGAAUGCUAAAAAAUUGCUUGUUUAAAGAUAUUUAGCUAUCUCAGAUUUAAAAAAAAAAAGAUCAAGCCCAGUAAGUUAGGACUUGAUCUUUUCUUAAUUUCCAAGACCGUUUGAAACCUAAGUUUGAAAAGAUUCGUGUAUUUAAAUUUAUUGCGAAAAUCGAAACCCAAUAAGUUAGGGUACGGCUUUCUCAAAUCUAAACAUGAAAUUUUGUUUAUUCAAAAGUCAUAAUUUACAUUGAAUGAAAAAUAAUUUAAUGCGUAUUAGUAGAAAUCAAAACACGAUGUUAAUGCUCGUAACAAAACAAUAAUGAAUUCGUUAAUGUAAGUAUGAAUAAUGCGAGUAAUAACAAAAUAAUAAGUAAACAAAAUAAAAGGGACAAAGCGAUUACAUAUAAAAUAACAAGUAAAUAAAUAAAUAGAACUAAAAUACAUUUUAGUAGUAGUGCAUAUGAAUGAAUAAAUAAGCACCAAGUAACAAUCAUAACAAUGAAUAAAACAAAUAAAACUAUGUAAUAUAUAUAUAUAUAUAUGAAAAUAUAUGUAUGUAUAUACAGUCUUGAGUUAUAAAAUGAAAUAAAAAUAUAUGUAUAGAUAUAAUUUUAAAAUAUAAAAAUCUAUGAAGGUAUAUGUAUAAAGCUUUUAAGUUAUGAAAUAUAAAAAAAUAUGCAUAUAUAUUUAGUUUUAAAUAAAUAAAAAUGUACGUAUGCAUGUAGAUAAUUUUAAGCUAUAAGAUAUAAAAAUUAUGUAUAUGUAUGAAUUAUAAAAUAUAUAUGUACAUAUCAAAUUCGAAUAAUUACAAGAGGAGUAGAUUAUGUCUAUUUAUAGGCUUGUAAAAUCAUGUUCUAAUAGGAGUGUAGUAAGAUUGAAACACCUUUUUCUAAUUAAUAUCAAAUAGAUGGAGUUUAAUAAGGAUUAAAAAAUCUUAUUCUAAAAUAAAAUAAAAUAAAGUGUAGUUCUAUAGGGAUUUUAUUUUUAUUUUAUUUUAUCACAGUAUUUUAUUUAAAUAGGGAUUCGGAUUACUUAAUUCUAACAGACACCCCAAAAAAAUACAUGUAAAUGCACAAUUAGUAUUCUAUUACCAUUUUAAUGGUAGAGUGACAAAUUUGAUAGAUUUCUUUUUUGGGUGAUCAAAUUAAUAAAAGAAAAUGAUGACAAAAAUAGGAAUGAUAAAUUGAUGGGAUUAAUCUUAUAAGCACCAAUUAGCAAUUAUGGAUGUUUAUGCUUUCAAUUUUCUUCUUUAGUUGAUGACUUUACGAUCCAAUGUGAAUAAUGUCUCAAUAACGUGUGAUAGGGUGAAAUUUGAUAGGCCUACUCAACCUGACUUAGACUUUCUUUUUGUUUCAAUUAAUUUAAUUUACCCACAAUUUUCUUCUUCAGUUUCAUAUGAUGGGUCAUGAAUUCUUCAAUAAUAUGAAUCAGAAAAUACCUUGCAAUUGCAAUUGUUGUGUCCAAUUACUUGUUGACUAUAAGCACUAAUUAAGGCCUGUUUUGCUUUAAUUUGUUCUAAAUUCCACUUCAGCUUUACAAUGUAAUUUUUCAUUUUUCCACACUAGACUUUCUUUUUGUGUUAAUUUUUCAAUGAUAAUGGUAAAAUAUUUCUAGCUAUUUAAGUGUUCUUUAUUUCUUUAGAAUGGAAAAGUUUUAGUGGACAACUAGAGUUGCCUUUUGUUUUAGUUAAUUUAAUUUUCCAUCUAUUUUCUUCUUCAAUCUCCUAACUCACCACCAAAAACACAUUGCAACUAUUUUUUCUUUUUUCUUUUUUUGAGCUCAGCAAAUAAAAAUUUAUUAAUAAAACAAGUUUAUGAGAACUCUUACUUGACAUCGUAAUCAUCAAAUAUGAAGCAACAAGAAAUGAAAUAGUGUUUGAAUGGAAGUGAUUGUAACACCUUAAUCUGACCCGAUCACUGGGUUCGAUCUAUAAUAUAACGUAUUCAUUAAUUAAUUACCAUUCAAUCAUUCAUAGCAGUUUCAAAUCACACAUGUUGACACCAUUUUUUUUUAUAAAACGGGGUCGACUUGGAUUUUGAAAAUGAAAACAAAAACGGGAGUCGCCACCAAUCUUUUUGAUGAGGUGUGAUCGGGUCACCUCGAAAAGUGAUUGUUUUUAAUAAAUGAUUUGAUUUUAUUAAAACAAAGAUUUUGGUCCACGAAAUUCAGAAAAAUGGGUUCGGGAGUCGGUUACGUACGAGGAAGGAUUAGCACCCUCGUAACGCCCAAAAUUGGUACCUAGUUGAUUAAUUAAUGUCUUAGUGUCGAAAAUUGAAAACUUUGAAGAAUUUUAAAAAUACGAUCCUUGUAUUUGAUAGGCCCACUAUACCUGACUUAGACUUUCUUCUUCAAUCUCCUAACUCACCACCAAAAACACAUUGCAACUAUUUUUUCUUUUUUCUUUUUUUGAGCUCAGCAAAUAAAAAUUUAUUAAUAAAGGGCAAAGCACCAAACGAAUUCAUUUGUUAAAAUAUUUUGUCUUGCGAAUUAAAAUAGAAAAAUUUGUAAUUAUUUAAUUGAUUCUAAAUGAAUUCCACUUGUGUUGAUUGGUUAGAAUUAGGUAAUACUAUUGGUCAGCUAAAUCCUAGGCUAGAACUUAUAGGAUUGUUUAUUGAUAACGGAAAUAAUUUCGACGAGUUUCCUCUUGAUUAUCGAGAAGGUAAGGAAAGAUUAGUUGUUAGGCGUGGUAUCGGCAACUAAAUUUUAUUUAUUAAAAAACACUAAAUCUAUCUUUGCAUUGAUGAUCAAACUCAUGAAUCAAAUGAAGAUUUUACCUUUUGUUAGAUUUUCAAUAUAUUGGUUUUUCUUAUAUUUUAUUUUGUGAUUACAUAGUUUUAAUUUUAAAUUUAAACCCUUUGUUUUUAUUUUCUUUUACUAAAUAAAUGGAAUUAUCACUUGAUCCUAUGGAUUCAACUCUACUCAUUGUUAUAUACAAAAUUUAUAUUUUUUGAGUAGAAAUUUGUUUUUGUAGGUCUCAAAAAUCUUACAUUUAGUGGUGUUUUUUAAUUUUUAGGAUUUUACAAUUUAGUAAUGGAAUUAAGUUAUUUUCAUGCAUUUUAAGUGUUUUUAAGGUUUAAUAUUAAUUUUUAUGUUUUGUGUUUGGUUGUAAGAGAAACUCUCAACUUCAAGGCAGAUGGUAGAAAAUAGCCUUUAACGUCAUGACACGGCAAAGGCCAAGUCGUGAUUUGGAUCAGCUAAAAUCAAGACAUCAUGAAUGGUGUUGAUCAAUGCCCGACAUCGUGAUGAGAUUGUGGCUAAGUCAUGAUAUGGCUGACCUCACAAAUGGAUUAGCUAACGUUGCGACGUCAUGUAUGCUAAAGGAAAAAUAAGAGCAUUUUUAGGCCAUACGUCAUGACAUGAAUCAGUUGAUGUCGUGUGUUGUGGCAUUUUUUUGCAAUGCAAGAAAAUUUCGUGUUAAAUGACUAAAAACUAUAGAAUUUAUAAAUUAUUAAUCACAGGAAAUUAAAAAAAAAAAGUCUUUGUCGGGUUAAAGAAUUUAGUGUCAUAAAAAAUAAAAAUAAAUAAAUAAUUUCCCCAAAAAUGAAAAAAAACUAAAAAUUACUAUCUUUUCAUUAUUUAAUCAAAUAAAUCGAGUGUUUGGUUAAAAAAUAAAAUUAACUAAAUUAAUUAACUAACAAACACGAUAAAGAACAAAGUAAGAAAAUAAACGAUUAACAAUCAAGAAGUCAAAUAAUACCUGAAAAAAAUUCACCUAGAUUUUAUCUGUCACUAUCAAUCUAAAUUACACAAUUUCUUUACUUAGUAACUUGAUCCAUAGAAAUCUAUGAGUUAUGCUAAUAUCUUUUUCGAGAGUAAGGGCAACUUACUCUAGGUUGAUUAAUUGAAAUUUCUUUCUAAUUAAAACUCCUAUUAUCAAAUUAACUCAUGCUAUGGAUUCUUAUUUUAUAUUUGACUCUGAUUUGAUAGAUUUAUGUCGUCUUAUUUUUUCGAUUGCAUGCAACUUCACUCAAUUAUGCAAGACAUACUAUUAAACAAGGUCUAUUCCUCCUCUGAUUUAAGCACAUCACAUAUGGAUCAAUAAUCUAAAAGUAUCAAACCAAGAAUUAUGCACACAUAAUUGAGACAAGAUCUAAAUAUUUGUUGCAUAAAAUAAAAAUUAAAAGACAGAAUCUAUCAUAGGGUUCAUCUCCCCUAGGUAUUUAGAAAAUUAGUUCAUAAUUGAAAAUAAAAACAUCCAAGAUAUAAUAUAACUGAAAGAAAUAAAGAAGCUCAUGAUAAUCUCCUAAGAAAUCAACUAGGAAUCUUCAAUCUUGAUGGAUAUCUGCUUUAGAGUCGGCUUGAAUGGUGCUUUUUGAAUUGUUUUCCUGAAUAUUCUAUGACUUUCCCUUUUAUCUUCUUAUGUUUGUCAUAUAUACGUCUUACAAUGCUCGAAAAAUAAAAAAAAUGUUUUCUCACAAUUGAAGGUACAAAUCUGCGAAUUGACACAGCCUACCACAUUUCUUUAUGGUAGGCCUUCUGGGUCACAUGGUUGUGUAGCUAGGCCAUGUGGAAGGGUUCAGCUUGUGUGGCUCUUGUAAUUUGUUCCGAUUUUUUUUAUUUUCGCUCGUUUUUCACUCCUUUUGGUCUCAAAUGCUCUCCUAAGUAUAAAAACAUGAGUUUAAAAUAUUAAGAGCAUAAAAUUCAUCAUUAAAAUCGAAUAAUCACCCAAAAAUGCACUAAGAAUGAGGUUAAAACAUUUUACUUUUAGCACUUAUCAAAGCACAACAAAAUAAUGCAUAUAUACUGUCAAAUAAAUUUUGAUAUCUGAUAUAUGAUAAAUUUUGUUUGUGCAUUGGGGUGGGACUUGUGUAUAUCAGGCAAGUGUGAGCAAAUAUAUCUUUGUCAUAUCUAGUGGCACAAUCACACAUAUCUUUGUAAAAGGCGAUAAAUCGCUUAAUGAAUUGGCAGCCAAGAUGCAAAUAUUCUAAAAAGUGUCAUACCGACACUAAAAGAUGUGUAGGGCUGGAUGGGUAUUCAAUAUGGUGUGUUGGAUGGUUGGAGAUGGUGUGUAGCGGAUAGGGGUAUGAUUGUAAAUCUACAUCUAUUGUGUUCUUAUAUGGUUUUUAUUUUUGAUAUAUGUCUAAUUAAUUUCUAUUGAUGAUAUGAUAUGUUACACACUGAGUUUCGAAACUCAUUCUUUGCUUAUUUGCUACUUUAAGGUAACCCUCAGACUUAGGAUGGGUCGGGGCGACAAGAGUUCGGAUAAAAUAUUAUACUUUUCUUAUGGUUAAUUAAAUAUUAGGAUUGUUGUGUUUUGUUAUUUUUGAACUGUUUUAGACAUUUUGGGGAUUUCGUUUUUAACCGUUUAUUGAUUUUAAAGGGAAACUUCACGAACAUCAAAACGAUAGAUUUUCAAAACACGACUUAUGUUUUCCAAAUUGAAUUUAACUAAAAAUUUCGCUGGAAAUAAAUGUGUUUAAUCGUGUUUUCCAAAAUUGAACUUGACUGAGAUUUUUCCCGCAGUGCAACAGUAAACAUUUUCAAAGUAUAAUUAAUCAAUAGUUUCUUCGAAUCUGUUAAUGAAGAUAUGUUUUUUAGUAAACUGGAUUUUUACGUAACGACCAUAACUUCUAGACCGGAAUUGGGUGUUACAAAAUUACUUUUGACAAAAAAAUAAAUAUGUACAAACCAAAUAUAACAUAAACGUAUUACAAAAAAAGUGAAAGAAAUUAGAAAUAAUCAAAAAGAAUUUAUUCAAAAAACAAAAAGAAAUCAUCAAAAAGACAAACAUGUCUUAAUUUAUAAGUUUUUUAUUAAGAUUUUCUCACAUGCAGGAAAAACCACCUUCAGUUGCAGUUCUAAUCAGACCUGAAAAAUAAUAAUAUACAACUUUGUUAUUUAGUUAAGGAUAUAUUUCUCAACGUUGAAAGAACUUUGUUAAGGAGUGAAGAAAGUCAAUUUAUUACCUUGUUGAAACACCAUUGAUUCUCCUCACUAACCUUGCUUUCAGCAGAACAAAUGUAACAUAAACCCAAUCCUUUGCAUUAUCCAUGUAACGAUAAUAUGAAUGCCUCCAUGAACGCCAGAAGAACACAACACUGCAAAAUCCCCAGAAACCCACAGCAAAUCCAAGUCCCGUGCCAGUGUAAAACCAUUUCAUGAACUCAUCACAAUCUUCUUCACUUCCUACUGCAGGUUUGCCAGGACGUGGUUCCACCAUUGAGCAAUUUGGUGAAAUAGGAGGACCACAAAGUCCUCUAUUAUGGGAAAAUGACGAAGGAUCAAAGCUCUGUAGUUGAGUGCUGGUUGGAAUUUUUCCAGACAAGUCAUUAUAAGAAAAGUUCAAGUUGCUUAGAAAUGUUAAUUCAGAUAAGCUUGUCGGGAUGUUUCCUAAAAACUUGUUUCUUGACAGGUCAAGCACCUCUAGUUGUCUUAUAUGCCCAAUCUUUUGAAGAAUUUUUCCGUUAAAAUGGUUUCUUGACAAGUUCAAUACAACCAGUUCUUGAAGACUACUUAAUUCUUCAGGAAUCUCUCCUGUUAAAUUGUUACAAGAGAGAUCAAUGGCUAGUAGCAAUCCAAGUUGUGGAUAGCUUUGCUUUGUUCCCUUCCAUGUAAGCAAUGCCUCAUCAACAUAUCUAACCUGAAUGAUCCAUAUAAACUCACCGUUCACACCCUCCGGAGAUAAAAAUCUAGGUCCAGUAUCUAAGAUGUGAUGCUCAAUCCUUCGAUCUAAACUCACUUUUUUUGCCAUGGAAGUGAAAUUAUUGAGGCAUGGUGGUAUGGUACCAGAGAUUUUAUUUACCGAGAGGUCCAAGAUUUGUAGAUAUUUCAAUCCACAAAGUUGAUGGGGAAUCCUUCCCCUGAACUGGUUCCCUUGAAGGCUAAGAAAAACCAACGAUGAAAGCUUCUGAACGAUCCACAUAGGUAUUUCUCCUAAUAAUUCAUUAUCACUCACGGCGAGAAAUUUUAACUUGGCACAAUUCUGUAAAGAUGAAGGUAAUACUUCAGAGAAUUUAUUACCACGUAAACUUAGCAUUUCAAGAGAAAUCAGAGAUCUUAAGGAGCUUGGAAGUGAGCCUGAGAAACUAUUAUCACCCAAAUUCAAAGCUGUUAAAAACGGGAAACUUCCAAAACAGUCUGGAACCACUCCAGAAAAUAGAUUAUUUGAGAGAUCAAACAAUGUCAAAAAAACUGCACCAGUAAAAUUGCAAAUUGGAGAGACUGAACCAGUAAACUUGUUUUUGGAAAGGUUAAUGGUCCCCAUAUUGUAGUCUAAAGAAAAACGUGUUAAUGGUCCUGAGAAAUUAUUAGAGCUUGGAUCUAGAUGGCUUAUGUGGAUAGAGUUAUUUGGAAAAGUACCACUGAUCUGAUUGAAAGACAUGUUUAUGUACUUUAAACCAUGAAAUGAGCCCCAAAACCAGUAGGGAAGAGAAUCUAAAAUUCCUGAAGCCGAAAUAUCAAGGUAUUCCACAUAAGAAAUAUGAUGGUCAGGGGUUAGGAUGCCCAUUUGUGUCCGAAUCCAAUCUGGGAAAUGAGGCCCUAACUUGCAAGAGCAAAGCAUUAUUUGAGUCAGUUGAAAAGGAGGAGUCCAUCUGGAGUUGAGUUUCAAAGUUAAAGAAGUGUAGGAUAAAUCCAACUUCUGUAAGUAGGUGAAAUUUGAGAAAUGAGCUUCGGAAAUCACAUCACCAUCAAAAGAAUUCCCUGCAAGCCGCAAGACUUGCAAGUUGGAAAGUUGUCCAAUGCUUUUGCUUAUGGAUCCAUUUAAAAGGUUGUACCCAAGAUCUAGAACCAUAAAAUCUGGUAGUUUUCUGAUUUCAUUCAACACGGAAUCUCCCCUAACUUGAUUCGCAGCUAAUAUCAAAAGAUUAUCACUCAAAUAAAGUUCUUGAAUAGCCAUCAUGUUCCCGAAAGCUUCUGGAAUUGGACCUUUCAACCGGUUACUUGAGAGAUUAAGGGAAACAAGGUUGCUGCUAACAUUAAACAGCCAUGGAUAUAUGGCAGAAGAAGGGAGAUUAUUAUCAGAGAGAUCGAGAUAGGUGAGAGAUGUAGAAGAGUUGGCAAUGGAAAGUGAUGAAGAAGAUAUGCUUGGAAGAUCACCGUCGAAACCAUUUUUUUGAAAAAUAAAAAUUUUAGGUGUCGACUUUAAAAAACAAAAUAAAUGGGAGUUGCCACCAAUCUUUUAUUGAGGUGUGAUUGGAUCACUAAAAAACGACUUUGGUCUACGAGUUUUAGAAAAACGGAUCCGGGAGUCAGUUACGUACGAGGAAGGAUUAGCACAUCGUAACGCCCAAAAUUGGUACCUAGUUAAUUAAUUAGUGUCUUAAGGUUGAGAAUUUGGAAAAAACGUGAUCCUUAGCAAAACUUGAAAGGUUACGUAUUAAGACCCUUAUUAUUUCUGAGAAAGAAGAUACCACACCCAAUGCGUUAGGGCACAGCAUUCUAAUUUUCCCCAAAAUGAAUUGGGCCAAAAUACUUGUACAAUAAAACUUUAAAAGAACAUCCACUUAUCCAAGAUUUAAGAAAUCACACCUAAUACGUUAGGGCACGAUUUCUUUAGAAUCCCAAACUUGGAAUAUUUCCUUUACUUUAAAAGAACAUCCACUUAUCCAAGAUUUAAGAAAUCACACCCAAUACGUUAGGGCACAAUUCCUUUAAAAUCCCAAACUCGGAAUAUUUCCUUUAUUAUUUUUAAAAAAAAAAUUCAUUUCAAGAAAUCAAUGCGUCACAUCCAAUACGUUAGGACACAACGUAUUGAAUUCCCAAUAAUGAGUUUUUAUUUUUUUGAUUAAAGAGAAAUGCUCGAUUGUUAGAUUUAACAAAGAAAAUCGGAACCCAAUAAGUUAGGGCUCAAUUUCCUUGAAAAUCCUAAAUACAAACAUUAUCUCAAAAAAAAUUCUAUUUUAAAAUUUGAGUAAAAAAAAUGAUGUAACCUUAUUUUAUACGUACAAAUGCUAUAAUAAUAAUAACAACAAUAAUAAAUACAUCAAUGACAUAAAAAUAAUAUAAACAAAUGAAUAAACGAAAUAAAAAAACAGUAAUCCAUGAUAUGCAAAAUAUUAAAUGUAAACACCAUUAUACAAUGAAUGGGAAAGCAAACAAAAUAAAUAAAGAUCAGAAGACGUAUAAUAUACACAUGGAAUUUAUGAAGAUAAAAAAUAUACAUAUAAUUUACAAAUAAAAUUUUGGGUUAUAGAAUUUAUAUAUAAAUAUAAUACAUAAUAUACUUAUGCAAAUAAAGAAAAAAAUAUAAUUAUACGUACAUAUAUAAAUAUAAUAAAAAAUAGGUAUAUUUUAAAAAAGAAAAAGUGAGUAUGUAAUCAUAUAAAAAAACGUACAUAUAUACAAAGAAAUAUGAAAAUAUUUAUUAAAAAAAUAUAGGAAAAUAUUAGUUUAAAAAAAAUAUUAGCUGAAAAAAUAAGUAUGUGAAUCAAAAAUAUACAUAUAUAUCUUUAAAAAAAUGAAAAUACAAAUAAUAAUUACACUAUCNNNNNNNNNNNNNNNNNNNNNNNNNNNNNNNNNNNNNNNNNNNNNNNNNNNNNNNNNNNNNNNNNNNNNNNNNNNNNNNNNNNNNNNNNNNNNNNNNNNNNNNNNNNNNNNNNNNNNNNNNNNNNNNNNNNNNNNNNNNNNNNNNNNNNNNNNNNNNNNNNNNNNNNNNNNNNNNNNNNNNNNNNNNNNNNNNNNNNNNNNNNNNNNNNNNNNNNNNNNNNNNNNNNNNNNNNNNNNNNNNNNNNNNNNNNNNNNNNNNNNNNNNNNUAAAAAUAAAUAAAAUUCGCAGUGGUGUCACCUCUCCUUUUUUUUUUAAAUCGUAAAUAAAUAAAAAAUAAUCGAACGAAAAAUAGUAAACCACCUUUAAAAACUGCCAAUCGUUCCCUUUUUUUAUUCCUCCCUUUCCUCCUUUUUUUUUUUACAAUGAAGGGAGAGGCCUCUAUUUAUAGCUGAGCCUCCCCAAAUCCAACGGUACAAAUCAGUUACAUCAACGGCUGAGAUUAAAGGGUAUCUACAAAUUAAAUCUCUAAGAUUACAAAAUCAUAUAUUCUAAGAUUGCAUAUCAUAUCUAAGAUUAUAUAUCAUAUCUAAGAUUGCAUAUCAUAUCUAAGAUUGCAUAUAUCAUAUCUUGGAUUGCAUAUCAUAUCUAAGAUUGCAUAUCCUCAAAAAUUAUGUUUCCAUAUGUGAGCCCGGGCUAAAAUUGGGUAUUACAGCUACCCCUCUUUGCUCGUUCUUGUGUAACAAGGACGAAGCAGACUUUAAAAAUGCCCGAUUUUGUCCGGUCGUGCUGAACCUUGGUACAUCUUCAGAAGUAUAGGAAUUAGUGCCAUCUUCAGUCUGCCUCAUUGCAACUUCAGGAGGAUAAGACUUGCUUAUUUAGUCUGCUCCACUGUAACUUCAGGGAGAUAAGACUAGAUGCGAUCUGCUCUCUGUAACUUUAGAGAGAUAAGAUCUGAGGUUUUAAUCCGCUCCAAUGCAACUUCAGGGAGAUAGGAUUAUCGGCUUUAAUCUGCUCCACUGCAACUUCAAGGAGAUAAGACUUGUCAUCUUUAGUCUGCCCCACUGCAACUUCAGGAGGAUAAGACUUAAGAUCUGAGGUUUUAAUCCGCUCCACUGCAACUUCAGGGAGAUAGGAUUAUCGGCUUUUAUCUGCUCCACUGCAACUUCAGGGAGAUAAGACUUGCCAUCUUCAGUCUGCCCCACUGCAACUUCAGGAGGAUAAGACUUGCUUACUUAGUCUGCUCCACUGCAACUUCAGGGAGAUAAGACUAGAUGCGAUCUGCUCUCUGCAACUUCAGGGAGAUAGGAUUAUCGGCUUUAAUCUGCUCCACUGCAACUUCAGGGAGAUAAGACUUGCCAUCUUCAGUCUGCCCCACUGCAACUUCAGGAGGAUAAGACUUGCUUACUUAGUCUGCCUCUAGUGCAACUUCAGGGAGAUAAGACUAGAUGCAAUCUGCUUUCUGCAACUUCAGAGAGAUAAGAAUUGAGGUUUUAAUCCGCUCCACUGCAACUUCAGGGAGAUAGGAUUAUCGACUUUAAUCUGCUCCACUACUACUUCAGGGAGAUAAGACUUGUCAUCUUCGAUCUGCUCCGCUCGAUGCAAUAAGGCAAGAUCUACUAUUUUCACUGAUCUGUUCUCCAGAGAACAUGACCUGUAUAGUGAACCUAAUUAUGCCUAAUGAUUAGGAUGGCAUGAUCAAAAUGCAUCAAAUGCUCAUAACUAGACAUGUGUGAAUGGUGUUUGCAUGAAUGCAAAAUUUAUUUUUCCGAGAAUGAUCCCGCUUAGGUUGUCAUUACUCGAAGUUUAUUAAGGCUUUGUGACUGACGUGCUACAACGCCCUCUUGCUUGACUGGCUUUUCUGAAGAAACAUUUAGCCAGGCUGUCCCCCACUAUGAACCUCCAAGUUUAAUCCAUUGGGAUGCAAAAUUUGUACCAUCUUUCUUCUACCGUGACCCAAGGGUAUAAAUAUCUGGCCUUUUCUCAAUCCUCUCCUAUCNNNNNNNNNNNNNNNNNNNNNNNNNNNNNNNNNNNNNNNNNNNNNNNNNNNNNNNNNNNNNNNNNNNNNNNNNNNNNNNNNNNNNNNNNNNNNNNNNNNNNNNNNNNNNNNNNNNNNNNNNNNNNNNNNNNNNNNNNNNNNNNNNNNNNNNNNNNNNNNNNNNNNNNNNNNNNNNNNNNNNNNNNNNNNNNNNNNNNNNNNNNNNNNNNNNNNNNNNNNNNNNNNNNNNNNNNNNNNNNNNNNNNNNNNNNNNNNNNNNNNNNNNNNNNNNNNNNNNNNNNNNNNNNNNNNNNNNNNNNNNNNNNNNNNNNNNNNNNNNNNNNNNNNNNNNNNNNNNNNNNNNNNNNNNNNNNNNNNNNNNNNNNNNNNNNNNNNNNNNNNNNNNNNNNNNNNNNNNNNNNNNNNNNNNNNNNNNNNNNNNNNNNNNNNNNNNNNNNNNNNNNNNNNNNNNNNNNNNNNNNNNNNNUAGUAAAGAAGGAUAACAAAGAAAUUGAUUGGGAAUGUGUAUCUUGGAAAAGAAUGAAGUAUUCCAAGAACAACAAAUUCAACAUAAAUAGUAUGAAAAUUGGGUGCCACAGAUAUCGCAGCAUGAACUUCUCUGCACAAACUUUCUGAAGACCAUUCUGAGUUUGACAUGUGCUUAGGAGAUCUACAGUACUCUGUUGAUGCCCCAAGAUGUCGCAUACCCUUUCCUGUUGAUUCAGGUAUAGCAAGACCACUGUCUAUCCUAUUUUCAUCAGUAAUUUGAGCUACUCUGAUUACCUCUUGCCCCAUUCUAAUCAAUAUUUGAGUCGCCCUUUUCGGGUUUUCAACUCAAAUCCACAUUUGGUCUAUGGCGCCCUUUGUGGGUUUUCACCUUAGCCUCUCCAUUUUAUUUUCUUUUUCUUUUUCUUUUUAUCACAUUCAUUUUUUUUUGAGCUCGCAUCAUUUUCUUUUGGCACAUUUGACCAUGAUGGAUAACUUUGAACAUUCCUCUUCAAUUAGAUCUAAAAGCUCAGAGUGAAAGAAUCUUGUCUUCAAUAGGCAAAACCACGAUGGGCCCAAGAGAAAGUCAUUGCCCCAGCAGAGUAGUUUUUUUUUUUGCCAUCUUUUCUUUGGGCAAUAUGGCAUUAAUCGUGAACAGACUGUAAACUUUUGAUAUUGUGAUGUUGUUCAAAUUUAGUACAUUGUCAGAUGUGAUCCUUUUGGCGUUCCAUAUGAUUGACAUACGAAGCAGCUUCCACACAUUUAGUAAAGUAAUUGACGAUCAUAAAGAUGAAUUGAUGAUCGUCAGACUCUUUUGGCGAGAUCGACCAAAUGACCUCCAUGCCCCACAUAAGGAGAAGUCAUGUACCCUGAUAAUUCUUUGUAGGGUGAGAUCCAUUUUUCGACUUGUUCAACCAUCCUUAACAGGUCCAGAAAUAGGCUACGAUCUAUGACAUCUUCAAAGUUAUGAGAUCCCUCUAAACACAUGUCUCGCUCAGAAGGAGAUUCUGAGUCAGUAGCAGCGUCACUCAUGUCAUUGAUAUCUGAGGACCCAUAGUAAUUGCAAAAGAAUAUACAAAAGAAUGUGUGAAUUUACGAAUGAUUAUUUAUACAAUAUAAUUAUGAACGAAAGAAUGAUGUGGAAGAAAAUCCAAAAGAAUAAAAGAAUAAUUACUCGCAAAGAAUGAAAAAAUAUUGGCACAAAUGCAAAGAUGUAUGUUAUUAGAAUAAUGAUGUUCAGACAUGAGCCUAUUUCAUAAAGGAAUUCCUAUCGUUUUUAGGCUAAAAGCAACAAGAAUGUUCUGAACAUUACUCUAAACAAGCUCUAAAGACUACAGAGAUUUCUUCCGCAANNNNNNNNNNNNNNNNNNNNNNNNNNNNNNNNNNNNNNNNNNNNNNNNNNNNNNNNNNNNNNNNNNNNNNNNNNNNNNNNNNNNNNNNNNNNNNNNNNNNNNNNNNNNNNNNNNNNNNNNNNNNNNNNNNNNNNNNNNNNNNNNNNNNNNNNNNNNNNNNNNNNNNNNNNNNNNNNNNNNNNNNNNNNNNNNNNNNNNNNNNNNNNNNNNNNNNNNNNNNNNNNNNNNNNNNNNNNNNNNNNNNNNNNNNNNNNNNNNNNNNNNNNNNNGUGCACCUGUGUCGUACCAUUUGAGAUACGGGGGCUGUGAAGGUUUCACAUGUAAAGGAGCAACAACAUGCGCAUUGAAUAAGCUUUGAUACAGCUCCUUGUACGAUAUUGAAAUUGGCGUGAACUGGAGCUUUUCAGUACCUGGCUUCACAUAUGAUUCUUGCUUUAAAGGAACCUGAUGGCUGGUGGUUUCUGUCUUUAACCGACCCACAGCGAUUGGUCUUGAGUGGCCCUUGUUAUAUCUGCCUUCAUUUUUCCCCUUAUUCCCUUUCUUCCUUGAGGCUUUUAUAAUAUCUGGGUGCUCUACCUUCACCUGUUUUAUUUCUGAUGAAUUGUCAAGAGCAACAGGAUUGGAUUUUGAGUUUGUCAGGCGAUAUACUGGUGUCGAUGUACCAGUCAGAUAUUGUCGGGAUCUGAUAGUAAAGAGUGCCUCUUGUGGACAUGCGUCUGGUUGGGCCUGGACACUUAUCAAGGUAAAAUCUGGAGAAUAUAUAGGGUCCUCAUUAUCAUCCCCAAAGUGAGCCGCUGGGCUUUUCCCUUUACCCAAUAAUUGGGUUAGCUGGCUCAUAUUUAUUUGGAAUUCUAGCAUCUGAUUCCUCAUUUCUUGUUGAAAUUCAGUCAAUUGCUCUUGCAUCUGUAUUUGCAUUUGCUCUAUUCUCUCCAAUCUUUGAUCCAUGCCUCCUGACUUUACUCGGGUACUAUAACGGUGUUCGGUUGAUUGGUUGGUUUCCAGAUUAACUGAGGAAUGAUGUAAAUUAAUUAGAAUCUUUUAAUGUUUUUAAAUGCAUAUGAAGUAAUGCAAUGCAUGAAUGCAAAAAGACGUCAAUUUUGAUUUAAUUCCAUAUAAGAAAACCUUACUAGAAAGCAAAUUUCUUUACAUAAAGCGAAUUACAAAUAAGACUUUGCCCUAGUACCCAGAACUCUGAUCUUCCUAAGUAACAAAACUAAUUCUUGCCCCCGAUCCGAUUCUAAUUCAUACUUCAUACUUAGCAUGUCAGCCUGUACUGCUAAAAUCUGUACGUAAUCAGCUACUUCUCGAAUCUAGACCACAGCUUCCUUCAUAAGAUGAUCUCUACUCCUAACUUGACUCUAAAAGUGGUGGAGCUGUUCAUUAUUACUACUUCCGUUUGUGUUCAAGUGCUUGAUCUGGAUCUCACAAUUUUGCAGCACCGUUUCUAACUCUUCCAAUGAAUGCACUUGCUGUCUCUCUUUUGCUUAACUCGUGUAGUGACCCACUACUCACUCAUCCUUGUUAUACCUAUCAGCUUCUUUGAAAAGGUUGGCACAUUUACCGUUCUCGAGUAAACUCUAUCCACUUGAAACUUUGAACAUCGGAGUAAAGCCACAUAUUUUCUAUCGUAGGUACCAAAUCGACAUUCCCAAACGUGAAGCAACUAUGAGCAGGAUUCCAAAACUGGGCGAGGGCUCGAAAUAAAUGUUUGUCUACCUUCACAUCAAGCAAAUAAGGCAAGUCCCCAUAAUUGUCGUAAAAUAACUGCCUAGCCUCAUUAUUCCAUUGAUUCCAAAUUUCUUUCAACUCCUGCAAAUUGUUUUGAGUUACACUGAUGCGAGUAAAAUCCCAUAAUUCUGAUACAUACCCAUCGGCUAGGCUAUCACCCUUUUCUUGCUGCGUUGUUUCAGACCAAGUUUGGACAGCCACAUUGUCCUCCACUUUAUCAAGAAACCCUUUUUCCAUGUUAAGCUUUCUAUCUAGCAACCGAAUCUGAACUGACGCCUUUUAUGAUGAAAUGAAAUGCCAUGUCAUGCAAAUAAAACACCAAAAGUCAGUAUAACAUAGAAACAUAAGAUAUAAUCAAGAAAUAGUAAAGAUCCCUAAUUGAAUAUCUACUAUGGUUUAGUAUAGUUUUACCUAGGGUGGAUUCUUAAGGUUCAUUAUAUGAAGUUUGGCUUCUAGAGUAAAGGUACCCGAACCAGCAGAUUCCUCAAUCCUAACCCAUUAUAGGCUCAUAUGGAUCGAGUUCGGUUCAGGGGAAUACAUUUCCCUAUGGCUGCACGGAGAUGAAAAUCUCACGAAGACAUAGGUACGGAUGUAUCCCGGAAGCAAUCCACUACCCUACACGGAGAUAAAAACCUCACGAAGGCAUAGCUUCUCACUCCCACUUAAAAGGGCCAAAAUUGUUCAACUCAUGAAAAGCAUAAUGCAAACAAUAUUUAAACAAGAAGGCAAGGAAUGAAAAAGGAUGUUAUGAGUUUUUUUAAAAAAAUAUUUUCUCGACCAUAAGACAAAAGUUAAUUAACUUUGUGGCUCGACUCUCUUAUUGUUUUUAAAAAAGUCCCCAGUGGAGUCGCCAAGCUGUCGAAACCAUUUUUUUGAAAAAUAAAAAUUUUAGGUGUCGACUUUAAAAAACAAAAUAAAUGGGAGUCGCCACCAAUCUUUUAUUGAGGUGUGAUUGGAUCACCUAAAAAACGACUUUGGUCUACGAGUUUUAGAAAAACGGUUCCGGGAGUCAGUUACGUAUGAGGAAGGAUUAGCACCCUCGUAACGCCCAAAAUUGGUACCUAGUUAAUUAAUUCGUGUCUUAAGGUCGAGAAUUUAGAAAAAACGUGAUCCUUAGCAAAACUUAAAAGGUUACGUAUUAAGACCCUUAUUAUUUCAGAGAAAGAAGAUACCACACCCAAUGCGUUAGGGCACAGCAUUCUAAUUUUCCCCAAAAUGAAUUGGGCCAAAAUACUUGUACAAUAAAACUUUAAAAGAACAUCCACUUAUCCAAGAUUUAAGAAAUCACACCCAAUACGUUAGGGCACGAUUCCUUUAGAAUCCCAAACUUGGAAUAUUUCCUUUACUUUAAAAGAACAUCCACUUAUCCAAGAUUUAAGAAAUCACACCCAAUAUGUUAGGGCACAAUUCCUUUAAAAUCCCAAACUCGGAAUAUUUCCUUUAUUAUUUUUAAAAAAAAUCUUCAUUUCGAGAAAUCAAUGCGUCACAUCCAAUACGUUAGGACACAACGUGUUGAAUUCCCAAUAAUGAGUUUUUAUUUUUUUGAUUAAAGAGAAAUGCUCGAUUGUUAGAUUUAACGAAGAAAAUCGGAACCCAAUACGUUAGGGCUCAAUUUCCUUGAAAAUCCUAAAUACGAACAUUAUCUCAAAAAAAAAUUUCUAUUUUAAAAUUUGAGUAAAAAAAAUGAUGUAACGUUAUUUUAUACGUACAAAUGCUAUAAUAAUAAUAACAACAAUAAUAAAUACAUCAAUGACAUAAAAAUAAUAUAAACAAAUGAAUAAACGAAAUAAAAAAACAGUAAUCCAUGACAUGCAAAAUAUUAAAUGUAAACACCAUUAUACAAUGAAUGACUCAUCCAUAGAAUUAACUUGUAGCAAAGGUCUUGGGANNNNNNNNNNNNNNNNNNNNNNNNNNNNNNNNNNNNNNNNNNNNNNNNNNNNNNNNNNNNNNNNNNNNNNNNNNNNNNNNNNNNNNNNNNNNNNNNNNNNNNNNNNNNNNNNNNNNNNNNNNNNNNNNNNNNNNNNNNNNNNNNNNNNNNNNNNNNNNNNNNNNNNNNNNNNNNNNNNNNNNNNNNNNNNNNNNNNNNNNNNNNNNNNNNNNNNNNNNNNNNNNNNNNNNNNNNNNNNNNNNNNNNNNNNNNNNNNNNNNNNNNNNNNNNNNNNNNNNNNNNNNNNNNNNNNNNNNNNNNNNNNNNUAUACAUAUAUAUAUAUAUUUAAAAAAAUGAAAAUAAAAAUAAUAAUUACACUAUCAAUUAAUAAAAUAAAUAAAAAGAACAUAAAAAAACUAAAUUGAAUUGCAAUUAAAAAAUCUGGGGUAAAUCCGCAAAUAAAUAAAAGUAAAAGGACUAAUUUGAACGCGCGAAUUACGUAGAGGGGCUAGAAGGAAAAUUUUCCCUUCUCCUCUAAAACGGCGUCGUUCAAGUGGAUCAAAUUGAAAUUUAAAAUAAAUAAAAGGGUAAAUUAAAAAAAUAAAAAAAACUUAAUUACAAAAACAUUAAAAGGCGGAGGGGCUAAAUAAAAAUAAAUAAAAUUCGCAGUGGUGUCACCUUCUCCUUUUUUUAAAUCGUAAAUAAAUAAAAAAUAAUCGAACGAAAAAUAGUAAACCACCUUUAAAAACUGCCAAUCGUUCCCUUUUUUUAUUCCUCCCUUUCCUCCUUUUUUUUUUUACAAUGUUGGAGAGGCCUCUAUUUAUAGCUGAGCCUCCCCAAAUCCAACGGUACAAAUCAGUUACAUCAACGGCUGAGAUUAAAGGGUAUCUACAAAUUAAAUCUCUAAGAUUACAAAAUCAUAUAUUCUAAGAUUGCAUAUCAUAUCUAAGAUUGCAUAUCAUAUCUAAGAUUGCAUAUAUCAUAUCUUGGAUUGCAUAUCAAAUCUAAGAUUGCAUAUCCUCAAAAAUUAUGUUUCCAUAUGUGAGCCCGGGCUAAAAUUAGGUAUUACAAUCACAAUGUCUUAGACUUAGUUUUUGGAGCAAAGGAAGGUGACUAAUGACUUGAGACCAAUCAUUGGCAUUGCUCAGGUUAGUGAAGCUGAGAUCAACCUCUUUCAAACGAGAAAGAUGGGAAAGCCACUCAAGUUUUCCAACAUUGAAAACCCUACCGUUGCCACCCAAUCU
rnacentral:lncRNA from 1 species